AAUCAUAGACGGCAAAGAAAUGCAGUUUUGCCGUCAGUCAGAGUACAUGUUUGCCGUCAGCUAUUCACGUCUUUGCCGUUAGCCUCGUAUACCACAGACAGCAAAGAAGUUAAUUAAAAAAACACAACAGCAUUGCUCCCGAGCGAUGCGGUCAACUCAUGCGAGUGCAAAUCUUUCUUCUUCUUUUUUAACAGGGAAAGGCCAUCCGUGUGUAGUGCCAUUCAUUUAACGUUAUUGGAGUACAAAAUGCAAAUAUGAGCCCGAACCAAAACUAAAGUUACAGAGUAGUUCAGGAAAUUAACACAAAGGACCCUAACAAGUUAAACUGAAAAGCAAUCGGGUCCUUCUCCACUCCGGUGCUCUGCCCGCCCCGCUAUCCAGCCCGACGCUCGCCUUUCCUCUCUGCCAUGCUCUGCUCGCCGCUCCGCCGCCCGGCCCUGCUCAGCCGUGCAGCUCCGGCCCAGCCGCGCUCGGGAGCUGACUUGCUCCGGCGCCGCGGAGAGGCACGCGAGGGAGGUCGGGGAUGGCCGGUGCUCAACCGGCGGAGCGCCCGGCUGCUCUAGCGACGGAGCUUGCGAGGCGGAGCGCAGGACCGGCAGGUGAGGAGGAGCUCGGGGUGUGGACGGGUUCGGGUGCGCGGCUGGAGGAGCUGGGGUGGGCAAGGCCGACCGGUGAAGUCGAGCUGGCGAGGUAGAGCUUCACGCGGCGCUGGCGGUGUGGCGGACGGAUGGGCGGGAGGGCGCUGGGCGUGGCAGCGGACGGAAGGGGCUCGCCGUUGCUGGCCACGGCACGCGGCUGCUCGGGGACAAGAGGCGCUGGACGGGGGCGCCGGACGGGGGCGCUGGACGGGGGCGCCGGACGGGCAGGCGGCGCUGAACGGGGGCGCCGGACGGGCGGGCGGCGUUGGCCGGCGGCGUGUGGCUGCUCAGGGGAGAAGGAGGGAGGAGGGUGCUGGCACGGGGGAGAAGGAGGGAUGGCACGGCGGCGUGCUAAUGCUCGUGGAGAUGGAGAGAAUGAGAGAUGAGGGAGCACGGGGGAGAAGGAGGGAAUCGUGGGUGGGGCAGCCGGGCAGGUACGGGGUGGGGGCGCGUGCGUCGUGGGGUGGGUUGGGAUGGGAUGGGCGCGCACGACGGUCCUGAGUGGGCUGAGAUGUGUGUCUAAGAUGAUGCCAAGUCAUCAAUCCGUGUGCUCGAUCCGUGUGGUGUGCUUCUUCUUUGCCGUCUGCGGAAACAAAUACAGACAGCAAAGAGCUCAAUUUGCCAUCUGCGAAAAAACACAGACGGCGAAGAUUCUUUGCUGUCUACCAAAACAAACACAAACGGCAUAGAUGCUUUGCCGUCUGUGAUUUUUGUUGCAGACGGCAAAGUGAGCUAUUUGCCGUCUGUAUUUUGUUUCACAGACGGCAAAGUUUAUUCUGCCGUCAGUUUUUCUUUGCCGUCUGCCGAUGACGGCAAACACUUUCUUUGCCGUUUGCCCAACGAAAAGCUGACGGCAAAGACGACUCCUGACGGCAAAUUAGCUGUUUCCCGUAGUGAAAUUAUGUAUGUGUUCAUCAAUUCAUGAUAGUGCAGUGCAAAAAAGCAAACCCUAAGUCAAAAAAUAGGGGGUUUCAGUACCUUAAAUUUGAUUUGCACAUUUGCUAUGAAUCUGUGAUGCUACCGCUGGACGGCUGGAGACUUGCUGGUGAGCGGCACCUUCGACGGUCGUCGGUUUUGCAGGGAGGGCUGAGGGGGCGCAGGCAGUGGGCGGGCGGGCGGCAGGGCCAGGCGGCCACGGCUCCUGCUCGUCAAGGGGCGCGGGCGAGCGGUGGAGGCAGCGACGUCCUGGAGGGCAGCGAGGGGGAGGGGAGGCGGCCGGCGAGGAACAACGGCGCCGCGGCGGUGAGGGCGUGAGGCGAGGGCUUCGGGGCGUCCUCUCCUCUGCCUCGAUGUGGAAUGAGCAAAGUUUCAAAUCGCGGGCGAAAUUGGCGCUAUUGCUGCGCUAUCGCGGCUGGAGAGCCUUCCCGUACGCUAUGCCUAAUUUUCUGCGAUUUGCCGCUACCGCCGCGAUCGCUGCGCGAAACAACAAUAAGUGGCUUAGCUGUCGCUACAGUUUCGCUGGAGUGGCUGAGAUUCAUUUUUAACGGGCUGAAACAUAGGCCCGAAACAAAUCGUAGCCCAAAUUUCCUCUGAUAGAGCAGCAUGUCCAGAAACCUUAUCUUCAUUAAAUCCUCUCACUCCCAUCUAAAAAACUUGCGGUGGGUGCGGCUAGGUGGGCCGGUGUUUGCUUCGCCGCAAGCCGGAGUCAGCGACGAGCGAGGCGGCGACCAGGGCUCCGACAGGAGGCUGCAUACUCAGUAGCUCUAGUACUUUGUCUUUUUGCUGUUAUUGAUCCAUCCCAGUCGGUUUUCUGAUUCAGUAGGGAUGUUGUCUUUUUAUUUGCGGGGAGGAUAUUGACUCAUUUAUGACUGAAUUUAUACUGCCAAUCCUCUGUUUUCUGCUGAAAAUCCUCUGUUUUUUAGACAAAAACAUGCAUAUGUACUUUUGCCGCUAAAUGCCUUAGCGGCCGCUAUCGCCCGCUAUAGCGGCCCUAGCGUUUUGAUGAGCCAGCCGCGAAAUGCUUUUUCCUGCGAUCUUAAAGUUUGGGAACAAGAGCUCGUGGCCUCCUGGGCUAUGGCUGAACGACAGAACGAGGGCUGGCAAUGAUAUUGGGUCAUCUGUUUUUUUUGGCCCAGUUAAAUACCCAUGGUAGGCUGCUCCAAAAUCCCCUCAGCCCGUGCCCGACAUGGUUCAUUUAAUUCAUUAUUUAGCAUUUGAUAUGUGUUCUAUGCUCUAAUGUGUAGCCUUCUUCUCACGAUUUGGGUCUAGCUGUCGGUGGUCAUGAGUUCAUUACUUAUGUUAACUACUAUUGUUGUGUCCACUGGUUUGCCAAGAGACUAUAAAGUUAACUUAUAUCCUCCCGAAUUUAUAUUAAUAUAGUUGGCGGUGAGGUAAUCCUUGACCUUGAAUAUUACUCACAUUUGUCAAAUAGGAGGCCAAGCUGGAACUGUCUGGUGCAUCCUCUAUGGUCACAUAUGGUGUAUUGCCUAUUCUAAACCCAAUGAGUAUUACAUUAUGGCAUGUGCCUGCGAGGAGGAACGAGUUACUCUUUUAUGGCAUGUGCCUAUUCUAAACCCAAUGAGUAUCACAUUAUGGCAUGCCUAAUAAUUGUCAGUGAAAAAUUAAUAGCCUACAUCAGAAGUCUAACCCAAGAAAGUGAAUAUGUGCCAUUGUAACUUUCCAACACUAAGGGCCUGUUCUGAUCUCCUCCCGCUCCACGCUUCACUAAUUCCUGGAGCAGAUACGAGUCGAUCGAAAUAGCAGCGAGAAGCUAUCUCGAGGAAGCUAGGAUCGACCGCAGUGCAAAAUCGUGAAGCAGACUCGGCCCAGCUCCACCGAUCCGGAAAGCUGAAGUUAGCCAAUAUUAAAAGUGAACUGCCACCACCAAGUCAAACGAGCCGAACCGGUACGCUUGAUCUGUUUGAUCGCUCUUCGUUCCCUCACUCGUGCUCCCUCACUGCUCCUCUACAAGGCCGAUUUGGGCUGCCUCCAAUCGGACAAACUAGCCCGAACAAGCCACGACCCUUCUAGCUGGGUUGUAGUGCAGCGAGAAGUUGCAAACCGAGCCGAACAGAUUUUUCAUCGCUGCUUGGAGUGAGAAGCUACUCGGAAAAGUUGAAUUUCUGAAGUUUUGGGAAGCUAAAGGAGAUCAGAACAGGCCCUAAGUCAUCGGUAUUUCAUAAUUGAAUGUUCUCCAUGUCGUGACUUUUGAUGGUGUAAACCCAAAUAAUCGCCAUUGUGAAAUUAAAUUCCUCCCGUGAGUCGAACCCACAUCCGUAAAGAUGUGCCACUACAAUCCACCUCAUGGCUAUCUUGGAGUGCUCAGUAUAAUCAAGUGUGCCCAAUAUGGUGACUUAAUAUGUACUUAUUGACCCUAGGAAGCUAAUCGCCUCCAUCAAGACACCUUCCUGUUUCUCCUAUAACUAGAUUCCCCGAAACCACGAGAAUGCCUAGAAUGGGAUUACAACUUAGCACCUUUUGUUUUCAAAUGUUAAGAAGAGUUGCUCCUUGGAGAGCACGGUACGAUCAAAGUUGUAACCUGUGUUUCGGAGGGAGUUAUUGUCUUGAAACUUUGUUCUCAACUAUUCUGAUUCCAGCAAACAAAGGCCAUUGGGUCAAAGCUGUAGCGCACGCCCUGUAGUUUUCAAGUGGGGCGAGACAACUUUUGCUAGGAACCUAUUUUCAUUCUGACCAGCUCCCUGAAAACAAUGUUCGACUUCAUGUGUAGUCGGUGUAGAUGUGUCAUUGCAAUUCCACCACUAGGAUAUCACCAAUUCCUAUGUAUUACAUGACAACAUAUGCCACCAUAUGGUGACUUGAUAAAUUAAAUGGAUUUCACCAAGCUUUCCUGUUACAGUUAUAGUGAAGAUAGUGACUCACCUGUCAGCCUCCCCGGCGGGAAGCAAAAUCACUCUGACUUUGGCAACCUAAUUUUUGGUGGAUUCAAGCAAACAUGUUGGAUUUGUAUUUUAUUUAUUUCAACAUAUAUAAUUCAAAUAAAUGAAUCAAUUCAUACUAGGAGUCUUGGAGGCACCCAUGUCAAUAAUGUGAAAUUAUGGGAAAUCUUAUUAUGUGCAUCAACAUAAGCCAAAACUCGUGGCUUAAGAGAUAUGUGUACAAUCUUCCAAUGGUUAUGCCCCCCUACUAAAUUCAUGAUGUUAACCAGUUCCCAGAAGUUGAGAAAGAACUUUAGUCAUGGGAUCAAUGUCCAGUGCAUCAUAUUUCCAGUUCCCAAAAAAAUUUAUUAUGGAACGUUGAGAAAGAAGUUUGGGCAACAUAUUUCCAGACACCUGUCAUGUCUAGGAUCGUAUCAAGCCUAGGUAAGCUUAGUCAUGGGAUCAAUGCAGGCUAUUUGUACGCUGACCCGGUUCUUAACUCAAGUCCUCCUUGCUUGAUACAAUAUUGAAUGGAAAGUAUAUAAUCAAUUUACUUAAGUGGGUGAACAAUGUUGGCUAGUAUAUUUCAACACUCACCUCACAUGCAUCUUUUAGGGGCAUAUAAUGCAUCGUUAUGGAAACAUUUUUUCUAUAGACUAAAUUCCAAUGGAAAAUUUUAAUUAAUUUAAUUAGUAGCAAUCUCGUAUGGCAAGGAUAUAUGGCAAAUGAAAAUGAGGGCCCAAAUGCUACUUGUUGGCACACAAAAAUAAAGUUAUCUUUUUCCUCUCAUGUUGAUCCUCCGUGGUUCGACAUUGGGCAUUACAAAGAGAUCAAGUUAUCUUUACACACCGCUAGAGCUACCAGACCCCGGAUGUUCCACCAUGAAUGUCCAUAUGGUGCAAUGAGUGAUAGCGAGCUAUAUUAGAACAUAUAGUUUACACAGUUAAAGUAAUUAAAUGGGCUAUUUUGCCUACUAUGAAAAAUAUUAUUUCAAGAGAAAACUAUGUAAGAGUUUGUGAUCUUUGUAUGUAAAAGCAUUAUUUGCCUUUGCUUGGUGUUCAAGCAGUUUGAUUUAUGGCAAAAAUGGAAAAUCAUGGGACAAUAAUUGUUGAUAUUCUUUGCGGGAAAGCGAGAUGUUUUCACUUUUCAGCUCAAACAAAGUAUUGUUUUUCUUAUAGGGGUGAUAUACAGUGUUCGUGGACUUGUGAUUCGUUGUCCAUUUAAAUUUGGUUUCUUCCAUAGAUUAUGUUGGUUUGUUUCUGUAUUUAUAUCAGCACUAAAGUAUACUGAUGUUAGCUAAGUCCACUCAAAGGCCCAUGUUUUUAUCAUGUUAUGCAAAUUAGUAAGCUAAGAUCUUACCAAACUCAAGUUACAUAAGCCCAGACUACGUGAAAUACACAUCAUGCAGUACACAUGUUCAUCUUAGUGUUAUGUCAUACUUGGCUCCGAGAUAACAAAUGGUAUCAAUUAUUACUAUCUUUUGCAGCUUGUUUCUGCCUGUUCAUCCUAGAAUUAUGUUAUGUGGUCUCCCAAGGUUCAUGCAACUUGGAUUUUCAUACUUUGGUAGUAUUAGUGUUCACUAGGACUAGGUGCCACUCUAUAGAAGUUGAGGAUACAGAUGGAGAAAGUAGUCAUGGUUUUUAUUUUUCAAAUUGUUGGUUUAUAUCUAUAAGAGGUUUAUGAAUUUUCAGUUUAUGGUGUUGUGAAACCUAGAGUGUUUUAUCUCAUUUAACAUUGAACUACGCUUGCACGGAAAAACCUUAAUUUGACAUCGAACUAUGCAUGCAGGGCAAACACUCCGUGCAUCGGUGCCACCGCGCCGCGAACCCUGGGAGCUUGAACCUGGAUGGGUGUGAACUUAUGAUUGAUGUCAAGGUUAGGGGUCAGUCAUGGAUAGAGAAUAAAGGCGACUUUGCGAAACUGUUAUUAAUAAUAUGGAUGAACAUUGCCUUGUGCAGAGAAUAAGAUAUUUCCAGAGAUAUUUAUAAAUGGAUGCAUACUUGCAAUAGCAGUACAAAAUAUGAUGCUGACAUUUUAUUUUCAUUGUUGUUCCCAUUAAACUUCUGGUGAUGGCUCCAUUAUUCAAAGCCUCACACAUGAAAAUGUUAUUUCGUUCGAGUAAAUGUUGCGUGUCGUUGCUCCUGUAGUUUUGCGGUUUGCAUCUCCUUGUAACUUGUGAGUUGGAUUUUGGGAAGUUGCAAUGCAAAUUUGGGAUGCAGGGAAGAUAAUAAACAAUGCUUUCUAAGAACAUUGGAUAUUGGAUGCGACUCAGAAAGAACGCAUGCAAAUGCAAGAUGCAAGACGUAGUAGCCAAUGUCCAGGUUUAUUAAGAGCAUCUACACCGGACGCCUCAUAUCUGCCACAAUCGCCACGGCGUGCUGCCCGAUCUGUACUAGGAUGCAAAAUUGCCACCCAACAGGACCUGUAAAAUCCGGCCCAAAUGUAUAGACAUGACCGCACUCCCCAUACCCAGCCCAUAUCUCGGACGGAUAUGUGGAAGCCCAGAGGUGCCCGGACACACCCGCCAGGUAGGAUCCGGCCGACUGCGGCACACCCAACCCCACAUAAAUUGGACCCUAUCCGCACUCCGAGCGAAACCCAAGCCGCAUUCGACUCCACUCUACUCCUCGCCAGGCCACUCCCCUCCACCCACAAGCCCCAUUUGCGGAUCUCCCACCAUUUCGAGCCGUUGAACUGCUGAUCGUCCCACGCGGCCCCAAGGAGGAGAUGGUCGACUGCCUGGCGCUUCUCCACUACCGGAGGAGUCUGCCCGGCAGCGGUCGAAAUCCAUCUUGCGGGAAUCCAUUGCUUCUGCCACAAUGGUGCAUGGAUCCCGCCCGAGGGCAGUCGCCGCUGCCUCAGCAGAGGCAGUGCAGUCCGUCUGGUGUCCGAACGCCGUGGAGGAUAUGCAACCACUUUGUUGGCGCACUGAGAAAGAGAUGCACACCAGCUUAACGUCUGAUACAAAUAUGGUGUGGCGCAUCCAUCGUGUUAGGCAAUGGGCACGGGAGCACGUGGCUGCCCUCGUGCCAGACACCAGAGGGGUAGACUCGCACUCUUCGGUGCCUCGUAUCGUACCCGGCAGCCCUUGGCACCGAAAUCAUGUCGUGUUGGACGCGGCUGGCUCCACCAUGAUGGAUCAAUUAUCGACCUGGCAUCCACCGAUGACAGGCAGGGCACGGGCUCCAACGAGAAAGAGUAGGCCAUGGGAGAUGGCGCCGACUCGAGUUUCUUUUGCCGGGUCGUGUCCCAUGUCCUACUCUACCUCACCGGAGAACGACCCUCCACUUCGACAGGCUAAGACAGCCAACGGACAUGGACAGGGUUGGAACAACAAGGACAGUCGCUGGCGCAAAUUUAGACUACAGCCGUCGACGCGAGGUGAGCGCGGCACGAGUUAAUCGCUGAAGAGGUUGGGCCCUUCUGUCGCUCCUGGUCGUGCAGUAGCCGACGUAGUCCUCCAUGACCACUAGAUCGACGCCGCCACCACUGCAUGUCUAGGCGUCUCUGUAGUGGCUGAUGUCAUUAAAGUGUAUUUUCUUUGUAUUGUGAUGAUUGCAGACUGUGUUGCGUAUUGUGGCGUAUUUUCUUUGUAUUGUCAUGAUUGCAUACUGUACAAUUUAUUGUGGCAUAUUUUUUGUGGUCUAUCUUUAAAAAGAAAACUAUAAAUAGCUAAAAGUGAUGUGCAGAAUAAAUGUAUACCCGCCACUACAAAACAAAUGCCAGUACUGGCACAUAUUUUUGCCCGCCAUUAAUAGCAAUGCCUGCCACUACUACAAGAUUGAGGUCGAUGGCGGGCUGUUUGUAACGCCCGCCACUGUUAUAGUCAUCUGUGGGAGGUGGAGCGCCCGUCACUAAUGCCAUGUUGCUAGUGGCAGGCGCCUCUGAAAGCCUCACCCAUCAUUGCUAGGCUUUUGAUGCCGCCACUCCUACGCAUUCCUGUGGUAGUGUGCAAUUGCGUAUCUAGUAGAACAUAUACAACUAUCCUCCCAACAAGCAGUUUCGUCCUACCAUGAAGUUAUAGUCGCGUUGAAGACAUUCAUUUAUAAUCGAAAGUGACGUUGCAGUUGCAUAUCAAGUAGGAGAUAUUUAACUGCCUAAUGAAAAAACACUUUGUUCCCUAAGUUACAGUCGCGUUGGAGACAUGCAUUAGCGAAACGACACCACCUGUAGUUGCGUGUUUGGAGUUAGACAUGCAACUAGCUCCACAGUAAUAAUCUGAAUUUUAAGUUUUAAUGAAUUUUAAAUUAAAGAAAAAAAAUAAAAGAUGAAGAUAUAAAAACAGAAAUAGAGCAAACAAACAAUAGGAAAAAUCCUAAAAAAGGCAAAAACAAAGAAAGGAAAAACUUGUUUGAAGUUUCUAGAAGCUUCAUAAAACCAGUAGAAAGAGUCCUACAUGGGCCGGCCCACUCACACAUGUAAAAAGAGGCGGGCGAGGCAUAUGUCGACUAGCUCAGAGUUGGGGAAUCCUAUUCCGCGCAUAGGUCGCUACGUAGCGACCUAGCACGUACCCCUCGGGUUUGUGGUCCUCUUCGAGUCGGUCCAUUCCAGGUUCUUCCCCAUACCGGUUUUUAGGAAGGUUCCAGACCUUUUUUCUAUUUUCUUUGUUUUCUUCUAGUUUUUUCUUUCUUUUAUAUUUUAUAUAUUACUUCUUAUUUUCUUUUAUCUUAACUUUUCCUUUUUGGUGUUGCCAACAUAUUUUCAAAUUCAUAAACUUUUAUUGAAAUCAAGAACAGGUUUUGAGUUGACAAACAUAUAUCUGAAAUAAUAAACAUUUUCUAAUUUGACAAUACAUUUUGGAUUCACAAAAUAACAAAAAAAUUAAUUUUGAGAACAUUUUUUAAAAAAUUCUGAACAUUUUUGUCAAUCGGCCGACAUUUUUUGAAUCGAUGAACAUUUCUAUGAAUUGACAUAUGUUUUUUGAAUUGGCAAACAUUUUUUGAAUCGAUGACCAUUUUUUGAAUCAAUGAAUAUUUUUACAUGAAUGAACAUUUUUUGAAAUUCACAAUAAAAAAAUUUAUGAACAUUUAAAAAACUUGUUGAAUAGUGCUUGUAUCUCAAAUUCCGUCCUGAUUAAUUAAAGUGGUGAUACCUAUCAAAAGAAAAUAGCUACGGUUGGCACAAAAUUUACUGCAAAUUAAUCAUGUGAUGAAAGACUUAGACGUGACAUAGGUUUUUUAUGGACCCUGAUAAGUGCCACACGUCAGGGACGUUCUCAUGACAACAUUGAACAUUUUUAUGACAAGUUUAGUUGCACGAUGAUGGCAAAUUUAAUUGAAAAUCAUGAAAACUUUCGUUAUUUAUCUUAUUUUGAUAGAAACUUGUCGUGUGUCACUGGAAUUUGCGAUCCUUGGAUGACAAUAAUAUCCAUCAAAAAAGUCAGACCCAAAGUGCCAAGCACCUGACGUGUAAGACCUAUCAUUUGGAUACUUUAUACCUAAGAUAUUAUUUACCAAAACCAUAGCUGAGACAUUUUCCCCAAUGCAGGCGGGGCCGAUGAAAAGUCGAACCCCUUGCCAACCUACUCAAAAUGUGUACACGGUCUCCCUUCGUCCCGAAAUACUUGUCGGAGAAAUGGAUAUAUCUAGAUGUAUUUUAGUUCUAGAUAGAUCCAUUUUUAUGCAUUUCUACGACAAUUAUUUCCAGACGGAAGGAGUAGUAAGUAUAUAUUUGUUUCUAAAUAUAAAUAAAUUACUAUUAAAUACUACUAUACCAAAGAUAUAAGAACAUUAAAUACAAGUAUACCAAAGAUAUACCUAAAUAUAAGAAUAUUUAAUACUAGUAUACCGAAGAUAUUCUACAGUUAAAUUCUAUUAACUCUGUUCCAAAAUAUAAGAAUAUUACUAUAAAAUACUAUUAGUUGUGUUCAAAUAAUUAGUAAUAGAGAUAAUAUUCUUUAGUAGUGAUAUAUCUUUAUUGCUCAUUAAAUAUAAGAAUAUUACUAGUAUUAAAUACUAGAAUCCUAAAGAUAUAUCUAAUAGUAUACCAAAGAUAUACAACAAUUAAAUAAUAUUACCUCUGUUCCAAAAUAUAAGAUUGUUACUAUUACCUCCGCCUGGAAAUAUUUGUAAUCAAAAUGAAUAAAAAAGGAUCUAUCUAGAUGUAUUUUAGUUCUAGAUACAUCCCUUACUAUGUGUUUUGAUCACAAGUAUUUUCGGAUGGAGAGAGUAUUAAAUACUGUCACAGCUAUUCUUAAAUUUAGUAACAGAGAUAAUAGUAUUUAAUAGUAGUAUAUCAUUGUUCCAAAAUACUCCCUCCGUCGCAAAAUUCUUGUCUUACAUUUGUCUAGAUACGGAUGUAUUUAACACUAAAAUGUAACUAGAUACAUUUGUAUUUAGACAAAUCGAAGACAAGAAUUUUGGGACGGUGGGAGUAUUUGAAUAUUACUAUUAAAUACUAGUAUACCAAAUAUAUAUUUAAUACUAUACCAAAAUAUAAGAAUAUUUAAUAGAAAUAUACCAAAGAUAUGCUACUAUUAAAUGCUGGUAUUAAAUAAAUAAAUUUGUAGUUCAACGUGCGGUCCCCACCUUGGCCCGUGCCUUCCGUUUCAGUUCAUAAAGGGCAACACAUGCUUCUGCUCCUCGCUCUCAUCGACCAACUCCGCGUGUCUGCUCAACCGAUCCACCGCGAUGUCUAGCUCCGACGUCAGUGCCAUACCCGCAGCCAACCACGAGGAGCACAGCCUGGUGGCCCCCGCCCCGUCCCCUGCAGACGCUGUCGCCCAGGGGAAAGGGAAGGUGCUUGCGCAACAGGCGCCUGCGCCGGUGGUUCGCAAGCGCAAGCCCGGGAGACCCCAGGAAAAAAGCCCGCCCCCAACGGCCACCAGAGAGGAGCUGGAAUCCCGGGAGUCCCGGGAAGGCCCCUUGAAGGUGCUUGUGCUCCUGGCGCCAGGGGCCCCGCGUACUCACGCUGUCUUCGGCGACAAGAUGAUGAGACACGCUCGCGCCCUCGCCCGGCAUGCAAAGGCUGUCUCCGACGACAAGAUGGUGAGCCGUGCUCGCGCCCCCACCCUGCAUGCAAACCGUGUCUCCGAUGACAAGAUGGUGAGCCGCACUCGCUUCCCCCUCUCCAACUAGUAAUUUGAAGUUAACUCGGUGCCUAAUGAUUUGAAGUUACUGACAAUCUUUAAUCCAGUCAUGUGAAUUGUACUAGUGCUUACUGAAUUACCUGAUGUGUAUGUGCAUGAACUACGUGGUGUGUACAUGUCCUUGGAUUUUCUAAGCACUGCGGUCUCAUCUGGCAGAUGGACAAGAACGAGAUGGUGCCGGUCCAGGGGGUGCCGCGCAUGCGGGGGAGCAUCGCGUCGUCAAGUGCAGUUGGUAAGUAUACUUUAUGCUGCUUUUUAUUGUCAACAUCGUCUCCAUGCAGGCUACACUGGCAAACAAGCUGCUUAACUCUUGUGCAUGCUGGUUUUUUGUCAUCACUAGUAUACUGGUAUUGGACUGAAGCUUGUUAGCUCUGUCCAUGCUGGGCCUUUUUGUCAUCAUUAGUAUUGUUAUAUAUUAGCUGAAGCUGCACAUGUUUUCUUUCCAUUGACGUUGGUGUGGGCGGUGCUACGCGUCAGUCGGCCGAUGGAUGGACGCCUUACUCACCUGAUUUUAAUCAAGUGCCACCUAGGUGUAGUUUGUUUUGUCACUAGCUGUGUAUACAUAGGCGAGCUCCAGCACUGUGUUGCAGCGUGGAAAACAUAUGAACUGUAAUAAGAAACAUGCAAUGGCUAGAAACAUGUCCACAUAUUUUUUCAGCACGUUUUAGGUGUCAACGAAAUUAGUCGGAUCGCCAGCCGUCAAAUUGACACAUGGAGCAUUGGAUCACACUACACGGCAGCAGAGAGAAUGGAAACCGUGUUCCUCCAUAGCCUCCACAAUACAUGUGUAUCCACCAUCCCUCCCACAUCGUCGCAACAGACAAUUACAUCGGCCCCUUGCAACACCUGGCUUUGGUACCCAAGAGAUCCCUGAUGUCGCUUGGAUAUCAUGCAAGUAUUAUUACAGUGCGCCAACGAGGCGUCGUCCUUGCAAGGGCCGUGGCAUGUGGCACUAUUCGUGGGAUAAAACACACACCGCGAGAAUAUGCGGUUGCACCACUGCGAUCUGUGCAACUUAGGAAUUGUUGUGACUGCCCCUGCAAAACUAGCGAUGAUACGACCAUCGCCCUGCAACAUCGGCCAUAGUUGUAGCACAUAUGAGAAGACGGAUGCCCCACCUAACAACACAUUAUGUGUUUUUUUCACCAUAAGAAAGCACUGCCUUGCAACAUCGGCUAUCAGGGUGCUGCACCGACAAACACACUCACGACCUUGAGACGUCGUAUGCCUUGGCCGAUGUAGCAUAGUGGUCCUCUUUCAGCAUAUAGCGAUGGCUUGUAGCAAUGAUGGUCGGAGAGUCGCAGCAUCGUGGAGUGGCAGUGCUAGCCCAACUCAUUGUCAUAGAGAAAGGGGAAUAAAGGAUGGGUGUGCACGUGGUGGAAAUAAAGCGAAUGGAUAUGGUCAAGAGAGAAGAAGAUUAACAAGGGGCAUCUCGCGCUAGAGCGAUCUGACUGAUUACCCCCCAAAACCAGCUUGUUGAAUAUAAUUCAAUUUUCUUUUGAGAGACAUCAUAAAAACGUCGCAACAUGCGAGCAUGUCUAUACAAAAAAUUGUAGAUAUACGACACAUACUCAUUAGCUGCACCAAAUCAGUGAACACUAGUAGAAAAAGGGAUUUUAGUCCCGGUUCAUAAGGGCCUUUAGUCCCGGUUCUGGAACCGGGACUAAAGGGUCGUUACUAAAGCCUCCCCCUUUAGUCCCGGUUCUUACACGAACCGGGACUAAAGGCUCUCCACGUGGCCGCUGCCUGGAGGUCCACCUUUAGUCCCGGUUGGUAACACCAACCGGUACUAAAGAAAAUGAUAUGCUUUUUUUUAAAAAAAAUUUAAAAAAAAUUGGAAUAUUUUUUUUAUUUUCAAAUUUUUUAACCUCUCAUCUCUAAUCACCCCUCAUCAUCUAACUUCCCAGACGGUCACCCAUCCUCACACUACUCCAGCCUGAGUACGCUUAACUUCCGGGUUCGAUUCUCCCUCGUUUCCAAGUCCGCACUUGUAGUUUUCUUGACAAUAGUAAGAUGUCAAUCCUAUUAACCUCAGGAAUUUAGCUUGAGCAUGAAGUCACACAUUUCACUGUUUGAGUUUGAAACUAUUGUUCUAAAAAAUAACACUAAUAUUUAGUAACACUAAUACUUCUUGAAUAAUUAGUUUGACCAUUGUUUGACCAGAUUUGACCAAAAUUCAAAAAAAAUGAAAUAAUUAUUUAGUAACACUAAUAUUCUUGAAUAAUUAUUUAGUAACACUAAUACUUCUUGAAUAAGUAGUUUGACCAUAGUUUGACCAGAUUUAAAAAAAAAUAAAAAAAACUGAAAUUUGAGCAUAACUUUUUUUCCUUUUUCAUAUUACGCAUCAUAUUUUGAAAAACAAUUCCCGAAAAAAAAUUCGAAACUAAUUUUUUUUUCUGUUACUAGUAAGUUUGAAAUUUUUUGACUCCAGAUCUUAAAAGCCCCGUAACUUUUUUCUGUUAGGUUUGUGAGGAUUUUGAACAUUUUUAACGGAUGUAACUUUUUGAGUAGAUGCUUUUUCAUAUAAAAAACUUUUUCAUCCGAGUUAGUAUGCAAAAGUUAUGCCCAUUUUACAAAUUCCACAGAGAUUUUGCAAAUAAAGUCGAAAUUCAUAUUUGCAAAUUUUCCCAACAACUAGACCACAAAUCACAUGGGAAACUUAUUUUCUUUUAUUUUUUGACAUUUCCGUCAUUUUCUUUUAUUUUUUAAAACUGAAAAGGCGAUCCACCGGGGGGGGGGGGGUGUUAGAGUUUGAAAAUGGGACCUUUUAGUACCGGUUCGUGCCAUGAACCGGUACGAAUGCCUCAAACGCCAUUAGUCCCGGUUGGUGGCUCGAACCGGGACUAAAGGUCUAACCUUUAGUACCGGUUGGUGCCACGAACCGGUAGUAAUGGGCAUCGAACCCUUUAGUCCCGGUUUGCGGCACCAACUGGAACUAAAAGGUCCAGACGAACCGGGACAAAUGGCCCACGUGGCCCGGCCGGCCCCCUGGGCUCACGAACCGGGACCAAUGCCCCCAUGGGUCCCGGUUCUGGACUGAACCGGGACUAAUGGGCUAACCCGGCCUGGACCAAAGCCCUCUUUUCUACUAGUGGAAAAAACACAAUGUAUAUAGGCCUGAACCGAUGGAUCAUCAGCAUGCAUCUACCAGGUCUUCCUAGGUUACGCCCAAUCGUGACUCGUUCAAUUGGGUCACACAUCACUACCCAAUCAACCACCAACUUAGUUGUUCCUCUCGUCUCCUCUACCCACCCUUCGCAACAUACACCCAUGAUUCUCAGCAAUAGACCAACAUGGAGGCGACAAUGGUGGCCAUGAUAGGCUAGUGAAAAGCACACUGGUGAUCAACCUUACAACACUAAACAGAACAUUGGAACAUGAGGUAACCCCAACUUUGUAGCACUGGUGCACCAUUUUCAUCUACCUUGUAGAAAUGAAAAGUUCAAUGACCAAUAGCAUUGCUGCACCAAGUUACUGGCUUCCAGCACUGAACACACGGGCUUGCAGCACCGCGAUGAUCGAUGGUCGGCCUUUCAACAGUAUUAGUUAACAUUCCACGGCUCGUCUCCAUUUUUAUGUACAUACACAUGAGUGAUAUUGGAACAUCAGUAACGUAUCAACCUUACCAAACAUGAAGACGAUAAAUUUGUUUCUCCAAGCAUAGACGUUACUGAAUAAGCGUGCAACUGCACAUCCACCACAUGAGCCAUAAUUUUUUAGCUCUGCGACAACAGCUUAUAGUUUCAAAAGAGUUUUGAUGAUGGUUUAGAAUGUAUAUGAUCAAAAUAGAUUAAAUGGAGGGGAGGGUGGACUACCUAUGUUGAAUCAGACUAGCCGCAAGGUCACAAGUGCCUUGUCUAAAUAGCCAAAAAGACAAAAGGAGGCCUCCUGGAUUCUCCAUCCUGAAGCUAAGCAUAACUCCAACUCCGGACACGCUAGGGGGCUAAUAAAGGUGCAAUACGCUAGGGGUGUCUUCUGGGUGGGAAGCCCGGUAGCAAGCCUGACUUAGGGCCCAAGAGGCCAAGUGGAGGACCGGUGCAAUAGGGAAGCUCAGGAGCCCAGAUAAGGACUGUUAGAGCAUCUUGGCAGGCAAGCUAAGAUGGCAGUGGUAUGAGAUCUGAUGGAUUCCUUGUAAACCUAGCCAUCGCCACCUAUAUAAGGAGGGGCUCGGGGUUGUCAUUCACAUAUACUCUCGUAGACUAUACUCUCUGUAGCAUUAUACUUCAUCUCCACUCUAAACCCCUCGCACAAGGUGCUCCACCAUGAAUAAAAAUCAGAUACAGAAUGUUGGGCAUUACCUCUCACCGAGGGCCCGAACCUAGGUAAAAACCUUUGUGCGAACUCCCUUGUCGUGUAUCCCUACAAGUUCACCACCCUACUAUGGGUACUCACGGUUUUACAUAAUGUCACAUAGUUAAGUUCUGACACAUUUUCUCUGGGGAGUUGAAGCAACUCAUGGUGUAAGUAGGUGUUGCUUGAAGCACUGAUUCUACUAGCACCUCCUUUCCCGCCUUCUAGAUACCUUGUCCUUCCUAUCCGACCACUUUGCCAUUUGAGCUUUCUUUAAGAUGUUUAAAAUUUCCUUCCUUUGACCUACCCACCACGGUUGGGAGCCCCAAAUAAUGCUCGCUCAAUGCCUUAGGAUCUGUGCAAAGAUAUUUACAACAACUUAGUCCUCCUAUUUUUCUCACUUCCCAAAGAAUGUUGAGGCUUUUUUAAAAUUUCCUAUUUGUCCCGAGGCCCACUCGUAGUCAAAGAGGAUAUAUUUAAGGUUACAAAGUUGCCAUUUGAUGGUUGAAGAAAUACUAUACUAUCAUCUGCAGAAAUAAGAUGGGCUACAUGGGGGUUAGUGCUCCCAAAAGAUAUACCAUUGAUCUCUUUAUCUUUGAGCACUCAUGAGAAAGGCCAAGAAACUCGCAACAUAGAAAAUAAAAAAAUAGGGAGACCGUGGGUCUCCUUGCCAGAGCCCUCUUCAUUGUAUAAAAAAUACAUAACACACUCCUUUCAAUUUGAUAGAAAACUUGGCCAGGGUACCACACAUCAUAAUCAUCAAGAUCAACCUAUGCGAGAAACCAAGUGCCCUCAUCAUUAGAUCAAGGAAAAUCCAAACCACCCUCUUAUAGGCCUUCAUCAUGUAUAGUUUAAUUGCGAACAUUGGAUUUUUCUAUUUCUUGAACGAACAUACUUUGCUCCUGAGUGAUCAUUAUGGAUAGGACAACCUUCAAUCUCUUUGCUAGGCCUUUGAAGCAAUCUGACUGAGUGUGUUCAAUAAGUUGAUUGAUCCAAUUUAAGGAAGUAUCUCCACAGGUAAUUUUGGGGAUUAGGACUGGAACCAUAUCAAUAAAGUUUGUGAAAUAACUCCAUUAAAAGAAUCACCUAUUACUAUGCGUACAUCAUUUUUUAGAAAUAACUAGUGAAAUUGGUAAAAAUAAGUGAGAGGUUUGUCUAGCCCCUGCGCUCUUGCCAGUCAAAUUUAGAAUAGUGCAUUCUAAAUUUCUUCAUCCAUCACGUCCGUGUUCACCCUCUCCUCCAUAUGACUAGUCACACAGGGUCGGAUGUGAGCUAAGAUGUUGUCAGCAUCAGCAGAGGCUUCUGAAGAAAACAACUAAGCAUAGAAAUUGGCCGAAAUCUUCCCCAUCUCAUUGUCAAUAGUACAACUCGUGCCAUCCGCCCUCAUGUUUUGAUCGUCUUCCUUGAGAAAUUCCAGUCGGGAACAUUGCAUACACAUUAUUUGUUCCUGUGCACGAACCACAUGAAGCUACGCUUCAAUCUCGCUGGUCUUCAGCGAGGAUGUCUGGAUCCCAAUGCUCUACCCUUUCCAUCGAAGCUGGAACUUGUGCCUAGUAAUCUCACAACAUACAAGACAAAAUACAGAGCCACUUCAAUGUUUCAUAUCAUUUGUAACAUUGUUACGCUUCCUGUAGAGCUCACUCUGUCUGGAAUUGUUAUCACAUGCACACUAUCAUGCUUCCAUGGGCAUCCACCUCUCCUCAAACGUUAAUGCCCUAUUCUUACAUUUGGUAAUGACUAGGUUUUCUAGCGCUCUAUUAACGAGCAAACCAUGGUCUGAUCCUCCAUGACAACAUGUUCAAUGGGUGUAUCCUACAAUGAAUGCACAAAUUCAUCAUUGCAUGGACCCCUGUCCACAUGUACAUAAACGAUCUCAUCCCGCUUCCUCUUAUUGUCCCAAGUGUACAGGUUGCUACUAAAACAAAGUUUUGAAACACUAUUUUUGGCUACACUCUCCCUAAUGCGCUCCAUUUGUGUGAAACUCCUCAAGUAGUAUCCUAGUUGUUGUGAUUAAAAGAAUUCUUGGUUGAGGUAUCGUUGUAACAGAUAAAUGUAUUAUUAGGAUCCAUUCUCUCGGAGCCUCCCUUAGCUACACAAAUUUUCUUCAAUCUCUCUUCCUAUCCAGUAGCUUUAGGUGAUAAUCAUUGUGACGCCUUUGGUGGUCACCAUCACCUUGCCUCGUCUUAUGAACAAAAGUGCCUCGUCUGCGUUGCUCUAAGGUAGAUGGGUCAUCUUUGCCAAUGGCCUUGCACCCUUUCCCAUAUACAUUUUUUAUGUCUUGCUUCCUUUCAUGCUCCUUUCUCAGGUCCCACUUCCUUUUUAGAUUUAAAUCAUCCCUUAGUUCACAAUCAUGUCACAGAUCUUGCCUGCAUUGGUCCUCCCUUCACUUCAUCUUAGACAGUUACCCUCUACAAGACCAUCUCGAGAAUCCUCGCCAGAGAGAGAGAGUCCAUAGAGGGCGUAUAGUCAUUGUAUGACCUGCACGUAAAUGGACAGACAUGCAACGCUACAUGACCCAUGCGCCCAUACACGCCCUUGCUUGACCUGGUGCUCCCAAAACUAAAGUUCAUGCUUUCUUUCACCGGCCUCUACUUUGUUUUUGUCUGUGAGGAGCCAUGUCCAAGUGAUGCCCUCAACCAUUCACCCAACUGGGGGUGAGGAAUCAUUUUGUGGUUCAAAUCAUCCAUCAACAUGUGCUAGUCUAUCGUAGUCAAUCCAAAAGAGAGGUAUCUUGUCAAAUUGAAAAUCAAACAAGGUCCCCUCAUCUUUUGCUGAAGAGUGGAGAAAGAAGCCUCAGACUAGUGAAAGAAAUAUGAAAAUUCUAUCUCUAAAUCUGAGAUGGUUCCCCCAUAAAUCCAUCCUUCUUAACAUCACUCUUUACCACGCCACCAGGACAAUUCCCAAGAGCAUUCCCAAAAGUAUAUGAUCAUUUAUAUAGGGGAGGAUCGGUAAUUAUCACCCAUGGCUCUGUCAUACAAAACAUUAUCUUCGAUGACCUAGUUUUUUCAUCAUAAUCCUUCAAAACUAUCAAAUUAAAACCAAAUUGCCACAUUCAAUUAUAUAUAGCGUGCUUCUAGACUCCUUUGUUAUGGAAUCUAAAGAAGAAGAUAUUAUUUCUAAUGUGACUUAUUUGGGCUUCCUAGUAGAGUCCCAUGUAUGUUGCAUAGUGCUAGCAAACACGUUGAUGUUGAUUUGCUGGAGUGAGCAUGCCUUUCCAACCACUGACCACCGAGUAGGCCUCGGUUGGUCUUGAAUCCUGAUCCUCAAACAUGAGAUCUAUUAGUUCCUUUUGGUGUCAAGUUCAGGGCUCCUUGUUAAUUUGGUUGUGAGAUUAGCUGCCUCCCAUAAAGCAUUUCCUUUUGUCAGGGACUUUGAAGGUUCUCAUCUUAACGAUCCUUGGUCGCCCUAUUCACUUGAGCUGUCAAUUUACGCCACGCCUUCUCUCCCGUCGUUGUGCAAAGGAGUGGAAGCACCAAGACCAAUCAAUGUAGGAGUUUACAAUGUCAUCACCACAUAGAUGAAUAGAACCCUAACCCUAGCACACUUGUCGGUCCCCUAUAAUCGCCCUUAGCAUUUCUUUUCAUGCUGGGCCUGCCACUAGGUAUUUAUACGUGUGCUUCCAUUGGUACCUUUUUUGCGCUGGAGCCUUUCUGCUACAUUUUCCUUUAUACACAGGUGGUCUUAUCCAAAUCAUAUAGUCUCCUCUAUCUAUAGGAAGCGAGGACAUUAGCUCUUCUUUUUUUCAAGGCAAAUACACUUGCUAGUGUUCAAGCGACAUCGAAAAAAGUCUUGUCACAUGUGAAGACGACUCUAAGAGUGUGACACAUAUAGGUGCCAACUUGAAGAAUAAUGCAAAUUUCAGUAAAUAUUAAUAGCUCCAGGGGGAACGAGCGCACAAAGGAAUCAGCCACCAUAAAUGGAUCAUUUCCAAAGAAACAAAGUCACAAAGAGAGAGACAAGACAUUAGCUUCUUUAUGGGGAACACAUAUAUUUAAAUGUUUCCUUGCUCUCUGAUUAUUAACAAGAAAUAUUUUUUACUAAUAUAUUAUGUGUAAAUCUUGGUAGAUAUGGAAUGUAUUUUGGUCGGUAUAUUUUAAGCAAUCAUAUUAGUUUUUGGUAUGUUGAAAUUAGAAGAAGUUCAUGUGCCUUCAAGGUGUGUGGUUCCACCUCAAAAUUGGUACAUACGAAAUGGUUAUUCUCCCUACAUAUAGCCCCAAUUCUCAUGCUCUCUCUCUCUCUCUCUCUACAUUUUAUAUUCCAGACUACUCCAUAAAGCCUAACUGGUGAAGGUCCAGAAACACCCAGCAGUGACGGGUUCAACUCCCAUUAGUAGUCUAUACUUAGUGGAGGAGAAACAAGCCACUUAUAGGCACGAGCCUGCCAAUGGUGAAUAAAUCAGAAAAGAAAAUCAGGCCAUGGCUAGUCCAAAUCCGGCACCUGCCAACAAUGUGUAGUCUACAGUACUCGAACCUACUUUUCAUCAGUGUGUUACAUCAUGUGAUGUUUGGAGAAGCCAUAGAGUUGGGGUUCCGAAUAUUGAAAACAACAAUGGGGAGUGGCUUGAAGAAUCGGACACUAGUAGAAAAAGGGCCUACAGUCCCAGUUGGUGAGGGCCUUUAGUCCCGGUUCAUGAACCGGGACUAAAGGGUCGGUACUAAUGCCCUGACCCUUUAGUCCCGGUUCAAUCCAGAACCGGCAUUGGUAGAAAAAGAGGCUUCCGUCCAGCCCCAUUAGUCGCGAAACUGUAGGAACCGCGACUAAUGAAGUCUUUAGUCGCGGUUCGGCAGAUGAACCGCGACCAAAGGCCUGGGCCCAGGGCGCUCGGUGGCCAGCUGGUGCACGUGAGGGGCUUUAGUCGCGGUUGGCCAGGCCAACCGCGACUAAAGGUGCCCAAAGGCCUUUAGUCGCGGUUNNNNNNNNNNNNNNNNNNNNNNNNNNNNNNNNNNNNNNNNNNNNNNNNNNNNNNNNNNNNNNNNNNNNNNNNNNNNNNNNNNNNNNNNNNNNNNNNNNNNNNNNNNNNNNNNNNNNNNNNNNNNNNNNNNNNNNNNNNNNNNNNNNNNNNNNNNNNNNNNNNNNNNNNNNNNNNNNNNNNNNNNNNNNNNNNNNNNNNNNNNNNNNNNNNNNNNNNNNNNNNNNNNNNNNNNNNNNNNNNNNNNNNNNNNNNNNNNNNNNNNNNNNNNNNNNNNNNNNNNNNNNNNNNNNNNNNNNNNNNNNNNNNNNNNNNNNNNNNNNNNNNNNNNNNNNNNNNNNNNNNNNNNNNNNNNNNUGUAAGAAUCAGAAGGGUUACUCUUCCUCAAGAGAAGUUCACCUGCACCUGCUUCGGCACGGUUUCAUGCCAAGCUAUAAUUGUUGGACCAAGCAUGGAGAAAGAGGGGUUAUAAUGGAAGAAGAUGAAGAAGGGGAUGAUUUCAUCGAUGAAAGCUAUCUUGCUCAUUUCGGUGAUACUUUCAUGGAGGAUGCUGAAGGUGAAGGGGAAGGUGAAGGGGAAGGUGAAGGUGAAGAAGAGGCACGUGAUGAGACCGUUGAUGAUCUUGGUCGGACCAUUGCUGAUGCACGGAGACGCUGCGAAACUGAAAAGAAGAGGGAGAAUUUGGAUCGCAUGUUAGAGGAUCACAGAAAGUCGUUGUACCCCGGAUGCGAUGAUGGUCUGAAAAAGCUGGGCUGCACACUGGAUUUGCUGAAAUGGAAGGCACAGGCAGGUGUAGCUGACUCGGCAUUUGAAAACUUGCUGAAAAUGUUGAAGAAUAUGUUUCCAAAGAAUAACGAGUUGCCCGCCAGUACGUACGAAGCAAAGAAGGUUGUCUGCCCUCUAGGUUUAGAGGUUCUGAAGAUACAUGCAUGCAUCAACGACUGCAUCCUCUACCGCGGUGAAUACGAGAAUUUGAAUGAAUGCCCGGUAUGCACUGCAUUGCGUUAUAAGAUCAGAGGCGAUGACCCUGGUGACGAUGUUGAUGGCGAGAAACCCAGGAAGAGGGUUCCUGCCAAGGUGAUGUGGUAUGCUCCUAUAAUACCAUGGUUGAAACGUCUAUUCAGGAACAAAGAGCAUGCCAAGUUGUUGCGAUGGCACAAAGAGGACCGUAAGUCGGACGGGGAGUUGAGACACACCGCAGAUGGAACGCAAUGGAGAAAGAUCGACAGAGAGUUCAAAGAUUUUGCAGCUGACGCAAGGAACAUAAGAUUUGGUCUAAGUACAGAUGGCAUGAAUCCUUUUGGCGAGCAGAGCUCCAGCCAUAGCACCUGGCCCGUGACUCUAUGCAUCUACAACCUUCCUCCUUGGUUGUGCAUGAAGCGGAAGUUCAUUAUGAUGCCAGUGCUCAUCCAAGGUCCGAAGCAACCCGGCAACGACAUCGAUGUGUACCUAAGGCCAUUAGUUGAUGAACUUUUACAGCUGUGGGGCAGACCUGGUGUCCGUGUGUGGGAUGAGCACAAAAAAGAGGAAUUUAACCUACCAGGGUUGCUUUUCGUAACCAUCAACGAUUGGCCUGCUCUUAGUAACCUUUCGGGACUGUCAAAUAAGGGAUACAAUGCAUGCACGCACUGCUUACAUGAGACUGAAAGUGUACAUUUGCCAAAUUGUAAGAAGAACGUGUACCUUGGGCAUCGUCGAUUUCUUCCGAAAAUUCAUCCAGUAAGAAAGAAAGGCAAGCAUUACAACGGCAAGGCAGAUCACUGGCCGAAGCCUGCGGAACGCACUGGUGCUGAGGUAUUUGAUAUGGUCAAGGAUUUGAAAGUCAUCUUUGGAAAGGGUCCUGGCGGACAAUCAGUUCCGAAGGGAGCUGACGGGCACGCAGCCAUGUGGAAGAAGAAAUCUAUAUUCUGGGAGCUAGAAUAUUGGAAAGUCCUAGAAGUCCGCUCUGCAAUCGACGUGAUGCACGUUACGAAGAAUAUUUGCGUGAACCUCCUAAGCUUCUUGGGCGUGUAUGGGAAGACAAAUGAUACAAAGGAAGCACGACAGGACCAGCAACGUUUGAAAGACCCUGAUGACCGGCAUCCGGAAUGGUUUCAAGGUCGUGCCAGCUACGCUCUGACCAAAGAAGAGAAGGUCAUCUUUUUUGAAUGCCUGAGCAGUAUGAAGGUCCCGUCUGGAUUCUCGUCCAAUAUAAAGGGAAUAAUAAACAUGGCGGAGAAAAAGUUCCAAAAUCUGAAGUCUCACGACUGCCACGUGAUUAUGACGCAAUUGCUUCCGAUUGCUUUGAGGGGGCUCCUGCCGGAAAAUGUUCGAGUAGCCAUUGUGAAGCUAUGUGCAUUCCUCAAUGCAACCUCUCAAAAGGUAAUCAAUCCAGAAGAUCUACCACGGUUACAGAACGAUGUGAUCCAAUGUCUUGUCAGUUUCGAGUUGGUGUUCCCGCCAUCCUUCUUCAAUAUUAUGACGCACCUCUUGGUUCACCUAGUCGAAGAGAUUUUCAUUCUCGGUCCUGUAUUUCUACACAAUAUGUUCCCCUUCGAGAGGUUCAUGGGAGUAUUAAAGAAAUAUGUUCGUAACCGUGCUAGGCCAGAAGGAAGCAUCGCCAAGGGCUAUGGAAAUGAGGAGGUAAUUGAGUUUUGUGUUGACUUUGUUCCUGACCUUAAGCCGAUUGGUCUUCCUCGAUCGCGGCACGAGGGGAGACUAAGUGGAAAAGGCACGAUCGGAAGGAAAUCAACGAUAUGUAUGGACGGCCAUUCUCUGACUGAAGCACACCACACUGUACUGACCAAUUCCAGCUUGGUGGCUCCGUACUUUGAGAAACACAAGAAUAUUUUAUGCUCGGACAACCCGGGGAAGCCUAAAUCCUGGAUUAGGAAGGCCCACAUGGAGACUUUCGGCAGUUGGUUGAGGAAACAUUUAAUGAAUGACAAUGAUGUUGUAGAUCAGUUGUACAUGUUGGCCAAGACACCAUCUUCGACUAUAACGACUUUCCAAGGGUACGAGAUAAAUGGGAAUACAUUUUACAUGAUCGCCCAAGAUAAAAAGAGCACCAACCAAAACAGUGGUGUCCGCUUUGAUGCAGCAACCGAGAAUGGGCAAAAGGUCACAUAUUAUGGUUACAUAGAGGAGAUAUGGGAACUUGACUAUGGACCCUCCUUUAAGGUCCCUUUGUUCCGGUGCAAAUGGUUCAAGCUAACAGGAGGUGGGGUAAAGGUGGACCAGCAAUACGGAAUGACAAUGGUGGAUUUCAACAAUCUUGGUUACCUUGACGAACCAUGUUUACCUGGAGCACUCCACCACAACAACCCCAUUCAAGAUGGCUAUGCUCGUGUCAUGGUGGAGGACAUAGUCCAAGGGUUUGAGGACCUGGAGAUUGACAUUGCUACACCUGAAGGGGAGAAAAGACUUGGAGAUGUCAAGCGCCAUUUCAUUCUAUGGCAAAAGAAGUUUAUCAAGUUUCCAGGCGAGGCGCCAAGGACAACAAGUCCACCCCCCUACGGUGGUGGCGGUUCACCUACACCUCCAUCACGUCAGCUGACGCCCCCCAGUCCACAACGUCCGGCGGGUGAUCAGACGCCGCCCCCCAGUCCUCGUCCGGCGGGUGAUCAGACGCCGCCCCCCACCUCCGGCAAAGAAGCAGAAGCAGUCCUGGAUUAUUAACCCGGACCCUUAUGUACCUAAGACCACAAAGGUACCAGAGCCAUCACUGAAGCCUCUCCCCACAAGGCCUUGGGAACGUAGUGCCGAGGAAACUGCCGCGGCCGCGGCUGCUGAUCAUGAGAAAUGGAAGGCAGACUGCAAGAAGAAAAGAGAGCCCGAGCCCAAGCCAGUAUUUUCUGAUGAGCAAAAGAAGUGGGCUAAGUCAUUUUUGAGCACACCGUCCCAAGCCGCGAAGAAUCUGCCUGACGACUAUGCACGUGAACUUCGUAGGCAGGCACUCAUGUUGAAGGAGAAGAAAGAGCAGGCGGAGAACCAGGAGAACAAAGCCUUGGAGGAGGCCGAGAAAAUGGAAUUAGAAAGUAAAAAAAGCGGGAAACAAGUUGCCCAGCUCGGGGAACAAAGUAAACAAUCGAUUGCCCCGCUUAUAGUGAAAGCCGCCGGUCCGGAUGACCCCGAUAUCAUAGCAGCUGCGGCAGCACAUGGAUUGACUAUAACGAGUGCCAGAGAACAAGCAGCCAACUUAGGUAUUACUCUUCGUGAACUGUUAGGCCUUGAUGAGGCGCCAGUGAAGGAGGUAGUAAUUACAUAUGUGAAGAAUGGGCCUCUCGUCGAGCCUGCGCAGGAAGAGGAUCUACCUCCACAAAUGAAAGGUCUGCUGAAAUGGUACAAGGGUUACAUAAAAAAUAAAAACGCCAAAGAAUAUAUUUAUGCGGAAGUUAGAUAUGAGCAUCACAUCAAACAUUACUAUGUACAAAUUCAUCUGAGUGAAUUGUUCCAGCUUUUCAAUCUGCGCGAGCUCGACAAAUCUAUCAUCAGUUGCUACGUUCUGUAAGUGAUUUAUUUCUACCCCAUCUCGUUCAUAUUGCCUGCACUAUAUAUAUGUCCUAACUAUAUUGUUGUGUCCGCUAUUAUACAUGCAGAAUGAAGAUUAAGGAAUGCAGAGUAAGGAACAUCCAUGAUGUUGGGUUCAUUGACCCACACAUCAUUAAUGGAUAUGUGUUGGAGCAUCACCCCGCCGACAUGGAGGCAGACCUGUGGCAGUUUCUUACAAAGCAGGAACUCAAAAGUAAUAUUCUAUUUCCUUACCAUUUUGGGUGAGUGUUUCUGUCUUGAGCACAUUCUCUUUUGUUUACUCCAUGCAUGGUAUGUGGCCGGCUAAUCGAUGAGUUAUGCAUGACGUACUGUGCAUGUAUCGUGUCCGCAGGUUCCACUGGAUUCUGCUAGUAAUUAAAGUUGACACCUCAGAAUGUCUCGUCCACGACUCUCUGAAUAAGGAUCCAAAGCUUUGGGGCGGCAUGAGAAGAAUGCUGCAGAAGUAAUUAUUUUCAUUCAUUUGCGCUCUAUAUCGAUCGGCCUAUUUCGUUCAUUUCCUAAUAUCAUGUAACUAAUAACUCUCUUGUUCAUUUAAUUUUCUUUGCCUCGUAGGGUUUGGAGACGGUUCGUAGAUACAAAGGUCGGUGAAUUCAAAAAAGAGCUAGAAUUCAAAAGGUCAAAGGCUAAGAAUGGUGAGGAUAUUCAGCCAGCGGGGACCAAUCUAUGUGCAUACUAUGUCUGUGAGAUGAUCCGGAGAUACACCUCUGAGCGGCGGGUUCCGAGUGAUACCAAUGCUCAGAGGAAUAACCUCCGGAUGAUGCUUAGUCCAGAAGCUCGCUUCCGACCACUUCAAGAGGAACUAACUGGAUGGUUCAGGAGGGAAGUCCUCCAUCCUAAAGGAGAACACCAUUACGAGGACGUAGAACUUUAUAUGCAUUAAAUUAUGUAUGGAAACUUGUUCAAAAUUGUAUAUGAUCAUCCGAUGAUAUUGAAUAUAUAUUGUAUAUUCCUCUUGAAUUCUUUUUGGUUCUAAUUUCAAAUUUGUUUGAAAUUGUACAUUCAUAUGCAUGUAUGUAGUACCGUAGAAUAUGUGAAACUCCUUCAAAAUUAAAAUAAAGCACAAAAGAAAUAAAACAAUACAAAUUAAACAGAAAACAGGUUUAGGGGGGGGGGCUAAAACCCUAAACCUGCGGCGGCCUUUAGUCGCGGUUGGCCAGAAGAACCGCGACUAAAGGUCCUCCGCCCCGACGGCCGCCUGGCGCCCACGUGGACGGGCCUUUAGUCGCGGUUCUUAAGCAACCGCGACUAANNNNNNNNNNNNNNNNNNNNNNNNNNNNNNNNNNNNNNNNNNNNNNNNNNNNNNNNNNNNNNNNNNNNNNNNNNNNNNNNNNNNNNNNNNNNNNNNNNNNNNNNNNNNNNNNNNNNNNNNNNNNNNNNNNNNNNNNNNNNNNNNNNNNNNNNNNNNNNNNNNNNNNNNNNNNNNNNNNNNNNNNNNNNNNNNNNNNNCCAAUACCACUAAUAGAAAAAGGGCCUACAGUCCCGGUUGGUGAGGGCCUUUAGUCCCGGUUCAAUCCAGAACCGGGACAGAUGGGCCUCCACGUGGCCUGUCCGCUGAGCCCAGGCAGGAGGGCCUCUUGUCCCGGUUGGUGGCACCAACUGGGACCAAUAGGCAUCCACGCGUCAGCAUUUCUGUGGCUGGGGUUUUUGUUUUUUUUUUGAAAGGGGGGGGGGUUUGGGGGGUUUUGGGGGGUUAAUUUAGGUGUUUCAUAUAUUGUGCUAUAGCUAGCUAAUUAAUAGAGAGAAGUGUCCUCUCUUUUGUCCGUGCUUGGUCGACGCUACGUACCAUACAUACGUAUAGAGAGGACUAGCUAGACACGCUAGCUAGCUAGUAAGCAAACAGAAGAUCGUCAUGAACAUAUAUGCAUACAAAGAGAAGUGAUAUCGACCACCUCUCCUUCUUCGGGAGAUUGGUCGAACAACAAGUUCUCGUAUAUCUAUCCGACACUACCGGCUACAUAUAUACAAUAAUUAUCUUUUACAAAUAUAUAAUCUCCUAAAAUACGGAUGCGUGGUCCACAUAGUAUUCUCCGUCUUCAGCGAUCACGUGGUCAAGAAAGAAUGCCGCCAAUUCCUCUUGAAUUGCUCGCAUGCGAUCUGGUGCUAGGAGUUCAUCCCGCAUCCGAAACAUCUAAUUUUAAGAAGGGGGUCAAUACAUAUAUAUAUAUGAAUGAAUGAAACUCAACACAAAUGAUGGUAAUAAAAUAAAAUUGUGACUAUUGUUAUUUACGCACUUCAUAUUGUUUGUCGGAGUAGCCCCACUCACAGGUCGUGUGGCGGAUGGACUCGCAAAUGUAGUAUCCACAGAAAUCAUUUCCUUGUUCCUGCCACAACCACUUUACAAGAAAUAGAGGUCAAUCAAACUGAUAAUUAGCAAGCAUGCUAAAUGGUAUUGAUGAAACUAGCGCUUGAAUCACUAGGAGAUUCCUGGAAUAUGCUACUAUAUAGUACUUACUUUCGGGUGCCUAAAUUGCAGCUUCUUCGGUAGUCCCGGAGCUUUUUUGGUGAAUUUUCUCCCAGCCCUGCCAUACAAAGAAAACAAUUACUUGAUAUCAGAAAUGAACAAAGUUGCUGAUAUGGUGGAUAAUGAUCGAUUUAACUUACUUCUCGAGCAUUUCAGUCAUGUCCGCAUACUCCUUGGGAUUUUUUCGCUUGGAGUCUAAGACAGUUACUACUCCCUUCUCAAGCUUAAUCUCUAGGAGAAUAUAGUGGUAGCUGCGCACACAUGCAUAACUCAUCAAUAUUACAUUACUAUAACCUGGACUAAUAAGGAAACCGAAUAUGCCUUUGUGUUCAUUCACUUGAAGGGCUGAGUUGUAAGGAAAGAGUAUUAUAUCUUUGUGUUCAUUUAUUUCCAACGAUCGUAGCAAGUUGGCCUCGGUUUCUUGGGCACGAUAUUGAACCUCAGUUGCAUCUAUGAGAUACGUGUUAAUGAACCCAAUAUCUUCCACUUGUCUUUUCUUCAAUUCGGUGAUCUUCAAUCUGCAUAAUAUAGUGAGGAUAAUUAUAAAUACAUGCAAUGAAAGGGCUGAGUUAUAUAGAGAGACUUAAUGACAGAAGUAGUACUACUUACAGACAGUAGGAGGUGACCGUUGCUUUAUCGAUGGCCAAUUGAUUGAAAAACUGAUAGAACUCCUCAAAUGGAAUAGGCAACAGUUCAAUUCCAAGGAGGUCAUGCUCCUUUUUAACUCUCACAUACAAAGUACUCCUCCCCUCAGACUCUUUGCAGGUUUUCAUGUACCAAUCACGCAAUCUUCGCAUCAUCGUUGAUAGAGAAUUUUCAUCUUUGACGAGAGGCUUCCCGUACUCGUAUCUUUGUAUCUGCACCUCCAAGAUAUCAUAAUGUACAUCGUCGGGCAGGUAAUCUGCAGGAUUGCCAUAACCGGGCACCAUCCUUGGAUCGACGAUGUCGCUAGCAGGCACCUUGAGCGGGGGGCACGAUUGCUUCGCUUGUUCGCCGAGCUGGGCAAUUUGUUUCCCAGCUCGUCGUUCUUUCAUCCUUUGAUCACUUUUAGUACUUCCCGACCUCUCCGCUUCGGCAAAUGCCUUUCCAAUAAUGCGAUCAUAGUUGCCUUUCGGCGGAGACUUGGGUGGUUUUGUCAGGGCAGCCAAAGUGCGCUUCGCUUUCACCGGAUCUACCUUCUCCUCCGGAGGUGGAUGUCUCUUUGCUUUCAACCCUUGAAACCAGUCAUCCACUUCGGUCUACGCGAUCUUUGCGUUUUCCUCCUCGCUCCUCUCGUACGGUAACUUCUCUAGAGUCUUCAGAGAAGGACCGAAUCUGUAUCUUCUCCCGCCUUUGGCUGUACUGCUAGACGCCGGUAGAGUAGACAGAGCGGAUGUCUUCUUUCCUUGAUUACGAGGCGGAGGAGAAGGACUACGACGCGCUAGAGCAGCCGGAGCGGCGGCGGGUCUCUUCCGCCCUUGCUGAGAGGCGGAGAAGGAGGAGGCUGGCUGCUCGGGCGCGCCGGCGCAGGCGGAGAAGGAGGCGGAGUGCCGCCACGCGCCGGAGAAGGAGCCGGCCGAGUGCCCUGAUCGUCACUCGCCGGAGGAGGAGGCGGUGAAGGAGGCGGAGUGCCCUGACUCGUCAGAGGAGGAGGAGGAGGCGGAGGCGUCCAGUUCGGAAGGUUGAUGAGAUCCUUCCGCCAUAGGCAUGGAGUCUUCAGAGCAGAACCCAGCCGAUACUCCCCUUCACCAGUAGGGUGGUCAAGCCGGAGGUCCUCAAAUCCCUCCGUUAUUUCAUCGACCAUCACCUUAGCAUAUCCUUCUGGAAUCGGCCGGCAGUGAAAAGUUGAGUCGGGUUUAGUAGGAUAAACAGAGCCAACAGCCGCCUUGACCUUCAAAUUGCUCCAUUGCGCCAUAAGGUGGCAAUUUUCAGCAUCCGUGAUAGCAUCCACGGGAUAGCUGGCAGGAGCCGUCAAGGCAUGCUCUGGCUGAAGCAGCUCGGUGGAAGCCACGCUGCUUCUCCGCUGAGAUGGCGGGGUAGCUUCGGGGGAAGCUUCGGCAGGUCGUUUGCUGUGAUCUGCUUCUCGUUCCUCUAGCCCCAUUACCCUUUCGUGCAGCGCCUGCAGUUGGCUCUGCUCCAGUUUCUUCCUCCUCUCCUGGGUUUUGUAACCCCCUACGUCCGGAAAUUCAGCCUUCCACGAAAUGGAGCCUGGCAUGCCUCGUGUCCGUCCAGGGUGCUCAGGAUUGCCGAGGGCCAUUGUGAGCUCGUCCUUCUCCCUGUCUGGAACGAACGUCCCUUGCUGCGCUGCUUUGAUAUAUUGCUGAAGCCUCUUGACUGGUAUGUCCAAUUGUUCAUCUGUCCAAAUGCACUUCCCUGUUAUAGGGUCCAAGGAUUCGCUGGCCCCAAAGAACCAAGUCCGGCAACGUUCUGGCCAGUUCAUUGUCUCUGGUUCGAUCCCUUUAUCAAGCAGAUCAUUCUCAGCCUUGGCCCACUUAGGCCGGGCUACGAGGUGCCACCUGACCCCAUGCGAUGGUGAAGCUUCUUCUUCUCAGCAUUUCUCUUGUUUGUCACCGACAUCUUUUUACUCUUUUCCGAUGUCUUGUGGGCCACAAAUGCGGGCCAGUCAUCUCUGAUAUUCUCAUAUUUGCCCUUGAAUUCUGGUGUCUCAUUUUUUUCGACAUACCUAUUGAGGUCUUUCUUCCAAUUCUUGAAUAGGUCUGCCAUCUUCCUCAGAGCAAAAGACUUGAUUAAGGGCUCUAUAACUGGCUUCUCCGGAUCAUCCUCCGGCGGUAGGGUGAAAUUUGACUUCAGCUCAGUCCAAAGAUUCUUUUUCUGCAUAUCAUUGACAUAAGACACCUUAGGUUCUUCGUUCUUAGGCUUAUACCAUUGUUGGAUGCUGAUCGGGAUCUUGUCCCUAACCAGAACCCCGCACUGAGCAACAAAUGCCUUCUUUGUCUGGUAGGGUUCAAUCGGUUGGCCAUCGCACGCGAUUUGUAUGAUAUCAAACUUUUCAUCCGAGCUCAACUUUUUCUUCGGGCCUCGUCUCUUUACCGAAGUUGUGCUUGAUCCGGAGGGCUAGAAAAAAGAACAAAGACGAGAGUUAAUUAAUAUGUGUACAUACCAAAACAAUGAAUGCAUCAAUUAGCUAGUCAGCACAGGCUUAACUAAUAUAUAUACCUGGCCGGACUCGGUUUGGUGAUCACCGGAGCCGUCCUCACGGUCUACUUCUUCACCCUCUCCUUCUUGCACCGACAUUGGGUCAUCGGAGCCAUGUAAAUCAUAGCCAGCUGCUUCUUCACCCUCUCCUUCCAGACCAUCGUUGUCGUUGAGAAACAUCAACGAGGAGAGGGCAUCACUUCCUUGUGCGAUUAUGUCCCUCAACAAUGCUUCUUAUGCUUCGUCUCGGGGGGUGUCCAUAGUUUCUACAAAUAUUUACAACAUGGCAAUUAUUAUUCAAACAUGACAGAUAUGGAUAUAUUAGUGGCAAACGUAGAACUAGCUAGCUAAUCACAAUAAGGAAUCAUAUUAGUGGCCUCGACGCUGCUUCUCUAGGGUUUGGGGUGGCCUCAACAACGCUUCAAGGGUUAGGGGGUGGCCUCGAGAACGCUUCAAGGAGGGGGUAAUAUCGGCCCCCCCACGUGUUGAAGCUAUCGGGAGGGGGUCGGUGUUGAACACUACUUCUAUGUCCCACAAGUGACGUGGGCAUCGACGCCCGCGGUAGGGUAGAGGGUCGUGGAUUGCCGCGCGGUCGAGGGUCAAGGGGUCGAGGAUCGCCGAGGGGUCAGGAGGUUGCCUAGUGUCAAAGGAUUCAACAAAACCAUGUCUUCAUCAUUUGGCGAAAGUAACAGGUGCAUGAUGGUACGAAGCUCUCCAAAGUUAUUUUGGAACGGAGUCCCAGAUAGGAUAAUUCGCUUUUUGGUACAAAGUUCAGCAAGAACCUUCCGAAUAUUGUUAUUUGAAAGGCCUUUACUGAGAUUCGUACAAAAAGGCAAAUUAUCCUAUCCGGGACUCCAUUCCAGAAUAACUUUGGAGGACUUCGUACCAUCAUGCCACGGUUACUUCCGGCUAAUGAUGAAGCCAUGGAUUUCUUCAAUACUUUGACACUAUAGGAACCCUCGACCCUGAAACCUUCGACCCUUGACCCCUUAACGACCCUCGAUCCUGAAACCUUCGACCCUUGACCCCUUAACGACCCUCGACCCUCUACCCUAGUUCCCGACCCUCGACCCCUUGGUGAUCCUCGACACCCUCGUUAUAUCGACAACGACGCAACAUACAUAUACAUGGGAAAAUAAUGUUAUCGGGGAGGGGGUAUCGGUACCCCCCCUCGUGUCAAAGUUUCUUCUUUCUCCUCUAUUCCUUUCUUUCUUCUUCUCCUCUUCUUUUUCUUCUUAUCCCUCGAGAAAGGAAAAUAAGGAAAAAGGAAGAAAAGAGGAAGAAGGAAGAAGGAAGAAGGAGAAGAAAANNNNNNNNNNNNNNNNNNNNNNNNNNNNNNNNNNNNNNNNNNNNNNNNNNNNNNNNNNNNNNNNNNNNNNNNNNNNNNNNNNNNNNNNNNNNNNNNNNNNNNNNNNNNNNNNNNNNNNNNNNNNNNNNNNNNNNNNNNNNNNNNNNNNNCUCGAGAAAGGAAAAUAAGGAAAAAGGAAGAAAAGAGGAAGAAGGAAGAAGGAAGAAGAAGAAGAAAAAGAAGAAGAAAAAAAAGAGGAGAAGAAGAAAAGAAUAGAGGAGAAGAAGAAAAAAUAGAAUUUUUUUUCUAUUUUUUCUUCUUCUCCUCUAUUCCUUUCUUCUUCUCCUCGUCUUUUUCUUCUUUUUUCUUCUUCUUAUUUAUUUCUCCUCCUCUCCCCUCUUCUUCUCCUUUCUUCCUCUUCUUAUUUCCUUUUUCCUCUCAUUCUUUUUCUUCUUCUUCCUUCUUAAAAAUACAUGAAGUAGUAUUGCCUAAUUCAUUGUUCAUAUGAAUAUACAAACAUUUGCAUAUUUACACUAAUUAAUAUCACCAAAAAAAUCUAUGAACAGAAAAAAAAUCCUAAUUUUUCUAAAAAACUAUCUUUUGCAUUGUUCACAUACACAUAUACAUUAUAGCCACAUACACAUAUACAUCACAUAUGAACAAAAAAAUUAAAACAUAAAAAAACAGAGCAUAAAAAUAAAAAAAAGAGCUUAAACAUUAAAAGAGCCGGGCGGCGGCUCACAGCGCGGGGGCAGGCAAGGGCGCCGGCGCGCGGGGCGGGACGGGGCAGGGGGGCAGGGCGACGGCGACGAGGAGCGGGCNNNNNNNNNNNNNNNNNNNNNNNNNNNNNNNNNNNNNNNNNNNNNNNNNNNNNNNNNNNNNNNNNNNNNNNNNNNNNNNNNNNNNNNNNNNNNNNNNNNNNNNNNNNNNNNNNNNNNNNNNNNNNNNNNNNNNNNNNNNNNNNNNNNNNNNNNNNNNNNNNNNNNNNNNNNNNNNNNNNNNNNNNNNNNNNNNNNNNNNNNNNNNNNNNNNNNNNNNNNNNNNNNNNNNNNNNNNNNNNNNNNNNNNNNNNNNNNNNNNNNNNNNNNNNNNNNNNNNNNNNNNNNNNNNNNNNNNNNNNNNNNNNNNNNNNNNNNNNNNNNNNNNNNNNNNNNNNNNNNNNNNNNNNNNNNNNNNNNNNNNNNNNNNNNNNNNNNNNNNNNNNNNNNNNNNNNNNNNNNNNNNNNNNNNNNNNNNNNNNNNNNNNNNNNNNNNNNNNNNNNNNNNNNNNNNNNNNNNNNNNNNNNNNNNNNNNNNNNNNNNNNNNNNNNNNNNNNNNNNNNNNNNNNNNNNNNNNNNNNNNNNNNNGAGCACGGGCAGCCUGACGGCGUCGUCGCGUCGAGCUCGGGCAGCCUGGCGGCGUCGUCGGGGCGGGGAACUGGCGAUGAAAUCUGAAAAAACGCCAAGUCUUUGCUUAUAUAGAAAAGGCUUUGGUCCCGGUUCGUGCCACGACCCGGGACUAAUGCCCCCCUUUAGUCCCGGUUGGUGGGCAUUAGUCCCGGGUCGUAGCACCAACCGGGACUAAUGCACCCCUUUAGCCCCGGUUGGUGCCACCAACCGGGACCAAAGGCCUGUGCUGCCCCGAACCUAAUAUUUAGUCCCACCUCGGUAGUUGAGAGGGAGGCGCACCUGUUUAUAAGGUGCGGUGCGCCUUCCCUCUCGAGCUCCUCUCUUAAGCAGGCUUUCGGGCCUAACCCUGCAAUCUGUGCCUGUGGGCCUACUGGGCCUCCUGCGGGCCUGAAUCCUGGCCCAUGGUAGGGUUUCUAGUCGUAUUCAGGCCGUGGGGGCCCAGUAGGUGGCACUUUUUUUUUGUUUUCUUUGUUGCUUUAUUUAGUUUAUUUUGUUUCUAUUUACAACAAAAUACUUAUUGUUGCUAUAUUUAUUUUUUUCCAGUUUUUUGUUUUGUUUUCUGCAUUAUUUAUUUUCUUUUGUUUUCUUNNNNNNNNNNUAUUUUUUGUUGUUUUUUGCUUUAUUUUUUAAUUCUUUUUGCUUUUAGUUUUAGAAAAAUUAUAAACUUUCUGUUAGUGCCAUUAGUUUUCAAAUUUGAAAACACUUUUUUGCUUUAUUUAUUUAUUUUAUUUUGUUUCUACUUACAACAAAAUACUUAUUGUUGCUAUUUUUAUUUUUUUUCAAGUUUUUUUGUUUUGUUUUCUGCAUUAUUUAUUUUCUUUUGGUUUUUUGCUUUAUUUUUUAAUUCUUUUUGCUUUUAGGUCAGCAAAAUUAUAAACUUUCUGUUUGUGCCAUUAGUUUUCUUUGAAAUUUGUGUGAAUCACAAGUUUGUGAGCUCAACAAGGCGUGUAGAGGGACGGGAUUAUAAACCGGUGUGAGCGCCCUUCGGUUAGCGAGGUUUUCAAAUUCAUAGUUUUCAAAUGAACUCUGAAAAAGUUGGCAUAGCAUGUGCAUGUACAAAACGGACAAUGGUAUCAUACUCGUCUGUUACAAAGUUGGCAUGGUAUCAUCAUAAUAGUUGCGGGAGAAAGUCAUUACUUUUUCUUCGCUUGUGUCGUUUGCUUAUUGCGCCGUAACCAUGGAUAAUCUUCAUCGUUUAUCAGGAUGCUUGGGUCGGCCUUGACUUUGAAGGGGGGAAUUUCAUGAAACUUUUCAUACUCUUCAGACAUGUCUGUCUUGCCCUCCACUCCCAGGAUGUUCCUUUUUCCUGAAAGAACUAUGUGGCGCUUUGGCUUAUUGUAUGAUGUAUUCGCUUCCUUAUCUUUUCUUUUCCUCGGUCUGGUAGACAUGUCCUUCACAUAGAUAACCUGUGCCACAUCAUUGGCUAGGACGAACGGUUCGUCAGUGUACCCAAGAUUUUUCAGAUCCACUGUUGUCAUUCCGUACUGUGGGUCUACCUGUACCCCGCCUCCUGACAGAUUGACCCACUUGCACUUAAACAAAGGGACCUUAAAAUCUACUCCGUAGUCAAGUUCCCAUAUGUCUACUAUGUAACCAUAAUAUGUGUCAUUUCCAUUAUCGGUUGCUGCAUCAAAGCGGACACCGCUGUUUUGGUUGGUUCUCUUUUCAUCUUGGUCAAUCGUGUAAAAUGUAUUCCCAUUUAUCUCGUAUCCUUUCCAAAUCAUUACAGUCGAAGAUGGUCCCCUGGACAACAAGUACAGCUCAUCACAAACAGUGCUGUCACCUCUGAGACGUGUUUCCAACCAACUGCUGAAAGUCCUGAUGUGUUCACAUGUAAUCCAGUCGUCGCACUGCUUCGGGUGUUUGGAGCGCAGACUGUUCUUGUGUUCAUCGACAUACGAGGUAACCAAGGUAGAGUUCUGUAGAACUGUGUAGUGUGCUUGAGACCAAGAAUAUCCGUCCCUGCAUAUUAUUGAGUCCCUUCCAAGCGUGCCUUUUCCAGUCAGUCUCCCCUCAUACCGCGAUUUAGGGAGACCUAUCUUCUUAAGGCCAGGAAUGAAGUCAACACAAAACCCGAUGACAUCCUCUAUUUGAUGGCCCAUGGAGAUGCUUCCUUCUGGCCUAGCGCGGUUACGAACAUAUUUCUUUAGGACUCCCAUGAACCUCUCAAAGGGGUACAUAUUGUGUAGAAAUACGGGCCCCAGAAUGACAAUCUCGUCGCUAGAUGAACUAGGACGUGCGUCAUGAUAUUGAAGAAGGAUGGUGGGAACACCAGCUCGAAACUGACAAGACAUUGCGCCACAUCACUCCUUAGCGUUGGUAUGAUUUCUGGAUCGAUCACCUUCUGAGAUAUUCCAUUGAGGAAUGCACAUAGCUUCACAAUGGCUAAUCGGACGUUUUCCGGUAGAAGCCCUCUCAAUGCAACCGGAAGCAGUUGCGUCAUAAUCACGUGGCAGUCAUGAGACUUUAGGUUCUGGAACUUUUCUCUGGCAUAUUUAUUAUUCCCUUUAUAUUCGACGAGAAGCCAGUCGGGACCUUCAUACUGAGCAGGCAUUGAAAGAAUAUUUCUUUCUCUUCUUUCGUAAGAGCGUAGCUGGCAGGACCUUCAUACUGCUUCGGAGGCAUGCCCUCUUUUUCGUGCAAGCGUUGCAGGUCCUCUCGUGCCUCAGGUGUAUCUUUUGUCUUCCCAUACACGCCCAAGAAGCCUAGCAGGUUCACGCAAUGGUUCUUUGUCACGUGCAUCAUGUUGAUCGAAGAGCAGACCUCUAGGUAUUUCCAGUAGGGUAGGUCCCAAAAUAUAGAUUUCUUCUUCCACAUGGGUGCGUGAUUCUCAGCGUCAUUCGGAACAGCUAGUCCGCCGAGACCCUUUCCAAAGAUCACGUGUAAAUCAUUGACCAUAGCAAGUACGUGAUCACCGGUACGCAUGGCGGGCUUCUUCCGGUGAUCUGCCUCGCCUUUGAAAUGCUUGCCUUUCUUUCGACAUUGAUGGUUGGUCGAAAGAAAUCAACGAUGGCCCAGGUACACAUUCUUCCUACAGCUUCCCAGGUAUAUACUAUCGGUGUCAAGUAAACAAUGCAUGCAUGCGUGGUAUCCCUUGUUUGUCUGUCCUGAAAGGUUACUGAGAGCGGGCCAAUCGUUGAUGGUCACAAACAGCAACGCCUUUAGGUCAAAUUCCUCCUUUUUGUGCACAUCCCACGUACGUACACCGUUUCCAUUCCACAGCUGUAAAAGUUCUUCAACUAAUGGCCUUAGGUACACAUCAAUGUCGUUGCCGGGUUGCUUAGGGCCUUGGAUGAGAACUGGCAUCAUAAUGAACUUCCGCUUCAUGCACAUCCAAGGAGGAAGGUUAUACAUACAUAGAGUCACGGGCCAGGUGCUGUGAUUGCUGCUCUGCUCCCCAAAACGAUUAAGGCCAUCCGCGCUUAAAGCAAAGCAUACGUUCCUUGGGUCCUUUGCAAACUCAUCCCAGUACUUUCUCUCAAUUUUUCUCCACUGCGACCCGUCAGCGGGUGCUCUCAACUUCUCGUCUUUCUUAUGGUCCUCACUGUGCCAUCGCAUCAACUUGGCAUGCUCUCCGUUUCUGAACAGACGUUUCAACCGUGGUAUUAUAGGAGCAUACCACAUCACCUUCGCAGGAACCCUCUUCCUGGGAGGCUCGCCGUUAACAUCACCAGGGUCAUCUCGUCUGAUCUUAUACCGAAAUGCACCGCAUACCGGGCAUGCGUUCAGAUCCUUGUAGGCACCGCGGUAGAGGAUGCAGUCAUUAGGGCAUGCAUGUAUCUUCUCCACCUCCAAUCCUAGAGGGCAUAUGACCUUCUUUGCUGCGUAUGUACUGUCAGGCAAUUCGUUAUCCUUUGGAAGCUUCUUCUUCAUUAUUUUCAGUAGCUUCUCAAAUCCUUUAUCAGGCACAUCAUUCUCUGCCUUCCACUGCAGCAAUUCGAGUACGGUACCGAGCUUUGUGUUGCCAUCUUCGCAAUUGGGGUACAACCCCUUUUUGUGAUCCUCUAACAUGCGAUCGAACUUCAGCUUCUCCUUUUGACUUUCGCAUUGUGUCCUUGCAUCGACAAUGACCCGGCGGAGAUCAUCAUCAUCGGGCACAUCGUCUGGUUCCUCUUGAUCUUCAGCAGCUUCGCCCGUUGCAGCACCAUCGUGCACAUCGUCUGGUGCAUCUUGAUGUUCAGUAGCAUCACCGUAUUCAGGGGGCACAUAGUUGUCAUCGUACUCUUCUUCCUCGCCGUCUUCCAUCAUAACCCCUAUUUCCCCGUGCCUCGUCCAAACAUUAUAGUGUGGCAUGAAACCCUUGUAAAGCAGGUGGGUGUGAAGGAUUUUCCGGUCAGAGUAAGACUUCGUAUUCCCACAUAUAGGGCAUGGACAACACAUAAAACCAUUCUGCUUGUUUGCCUCAGCCACUUCGAGAAAAUCAUGCACGCCCUUAAUGUACUCGGAGGUGUGUCUAUCACCGUACAUCCAUUGCCGGUUCAUCUGCGUGCAUUAUAUAUAAUUAAGUGUGUCAAAAAUCAUUACAGAACAUCAUGAAUAGAUAAUUAAGUGACCAAAUUAAUAGAAGUUCAUCAUCACAUAAAAAUCAAAGUACAUACAUAGUUCUCAUCUAACAACAUAAAGCUCUGCAGAGCAUCUAAAUUAAUUAAACCAUAUAUUGAAACUAUGUAAAACAUUUCAAUGCGAAAACAAAUGCGAUCAUAAUCGCAACCAAGGUAACAACUGAUCCAACGGCAUAAUGAUACCAAGCCUCUGUAUGAAUGGCAUAUUUUCUAAUCUUUCUCAUCUUCAAGCGCAUUGCAUCCAUCUUGAUCUUGUGAUCAUCGACGACAUCCGCAACAUGCAACUCCAAUAUCGUCUUCUCCUCCUCAAGUUUUUUUAUUUUUUCCUUCAAGAAAUUGUUUUCUUCUUCAACUAAAUUUAACCUCUCGACAAUAGGGUCGGUUGGAAUUUCUGGUUCAACAACCUCCUAGAUAAAUAAAAUCUAUCGUUGGUCGGCAUAAUUUUCAUAAACAAUAAAUGAACCAAUAGUUAUGAAAAGAUAAUAUAUACCACAUCCGAAUCGUAGAUAGGACGAGGGCCGACGGGGGCGGAUACCAAAACCAUCGCACUAUAUAAGAUGCAAUAAUAAAAGAAAAUAAUACAAGUAAGAAUAUUUUUCCUUUCAGAAAGAAGAUAAGAACAAGAGGCUCACCACGGUGGUGCUGGCGAUGAGAUUGGCGCGGGUGAUCGACGGCGGUGAAGACGGGGACGGGGCGUGAUGGACCGCUAAACCUAGACAAAUAUUGAGGAAAAUAGAGGUUGGAGGUCGAGUUUGGAGAGGAGAAAGCUUAAGUAGUGUGGCUCGGGCAUUUCAUCGAACACCUCAUGUGCUAUGGAGGUGAGCUAGAGCACCACAAAGCCCCCCCUCGCCGGCAAGAGAAAAACAGAGCACUGGAGUGCUCUGCUCGCGAGCGAGGGGGUAUAUGUAGGUAGCACUAUUGGUCCCGGUUCGUGGCAUGAACCGGGACUAACGGGUAGCCAUUGGUCCCGGUUCAUGCCACCAACCGGGACCAAUAGUGGUGGGCCAGGAGCCAGGCCCAUUGGUCCCAGUUCGUCCCACCAACUGGGACCAAAAGGUCCGGACGAACCGGGACCAAUGGCCCACGUGGCCCGGCCGGCCCCCUGGGCUCACGAACCGGGGCAAAUAGCUCCAUUGGUCCCGGUUCUGGAUUGAACCGGGACUAAUGGGCUGAACUGGCCUGGGCCAUUGCCCCCUUUUCUACUAGUGGGAGCCAAGAAGCCGGACGGAGAAGGCAUCCACCAUGCUGCACCAUUGGCCGAUACUGACCCGUAUGGUGCAAGGACCGAGGUAGAACUGAACACCGUCAUCACCGAGCCGAACAGAUUUUUGAUCGCUGCUUGGAGUGAGAAGCUACUCUAAAAAGUUGAAUUUCUGAAGCUUUGGGAAGCUAGAGGAGAUCAGAACAGGCCCUAAGUCAUCGGUAUUUCAUAAUUGAAUGUUCUCCAUGUCGUGACUUUUGAUGGUGUAAACCCAAAUAAUCGCCGUUGUGAAAUUAAAUUCCUCCCUGAGUCAAACCCACAUCCGUAAAGAUGUGCCACGACAAUCCACCUCAUGGCUAUCUUGGAGUCCUUAAUAUAAUCAAGUGUGCCCAAUAUGGUGACUUAAUAUGUACUUAUUGACCCUACGAAGCUAAUCACCUGUAUCAAGACCCCUUCCUGGUUCUCCUAUAACUAGAUUCCCCGAAACCACGAGAAUCCUUAGAAUGGCAUUACAACUUAGCACCUUUCGUUUUCACAUAGUAAGAAGAGUUGCUCCUUGGAUAGCAUGGUACGAUCAAAGGUGUAACCUGUGUUUCGGAGGGAGUUAUUGUCUCGAAACUUUGUUCUCAACUAUUCCGAUUCCAGCAAGCGGAGGCCAUUGGGUCAUAGCCGUAGCGCACACCCUGUAGUUUUCAAGUGGGGUGAGAUAACUUUGGCUAGGAACCUAUUUUCAUUCUGACGAGCUCCCUGAAAACAAUGUUCGACUUCAUGUGUAGUUGGUGUAGAUGUGUCAUUGCAAUUACACCCCUAGGAUAUCACCAAGUCCUAUGUAUUACGUGACAACAUAUGCCACCAUAUAUUGACUUGAUAAAUUAAAUGGAUUUCACCAAGCUUUCGUGUUACAAUUAUAGUGAAGAUAGUGACUCACAUGUCAGCCUCCCUGACGGGAAGCAAAAUCACUCUGACUUUGGCAACCUAAUUUUUGGUGGGUUCAAGCAAACAUGUUGGAUUUGUAUUUUAUUUAUUUCAACAUAUAUAAUUCAUAUAAAUAAAUCAAUUCAUAAUAGGAGUCUUGGAGACACCCAUGUCAAUAAUGUGAAAUUAUGGGAAAUCUUAUUAUGUGCAUCAACAUAAGCAAAAACUCGUGGCUUAAGAGAUAUGUGUACAAUCUUCCAAUGGUUAUUCCCCCUACUAAAUUCAUGAUGUUAACUAGUUCCCAAAGGUUGAGAAAGAAGUUUAGUCAUGGGAUCAAUGUCCAAUGCAUCAUAUUUCCAGUUCCGAAUUUUUUUUAUUAUGGAAGUUGAGAAAGAAGUUUGGGCAACAUAUUUCCAGACACCUGUCAUGUCUAGGAUCUUCUCAAGCCUAGGUAAGCUAAGUCAUGGGAUCAAUGCAGGCUAUUAGUACAUUGACCCGGUUCUUAAUUCAAGUCCUCCUUGCUUGAUACAAUAUUGAAUUGAAAGUACAUAAUCAAUUUACUUAAGUUGGUGAACAAUAUUGGCUAGUAUAUUUCAACACUCACCUCACAUGCAUCUUUUAGAGGCAUAUAAUGCAUCGUGAUGGAAACAUUUUUUCUAUAGACUAAAUUCCAAUGGAAAAUUUUAAUUAAUUUAACUAGUAGCAAUCUCGUAUGGCAAGGAUAUAUGGCAAAUGAAAAUGAGGGCUCAAAUGCUAAUUGUUGGCACACAAAAGUCAAGUUGUCUUUUUCCUCCCAUGUUGAUCCUCCGUGGUUUGACAUUGGGCAUUACAAAGAGAUCAAGUUAUCUUUACACACCGCUAGAGCUACCAGACCCUGGAUGUUCCAUAUGGUGCAAUGAGUGAUAGCGAGGUAUAUUAGAACAUAUAGUUUACACCGUUAAAAUAAUUAAAUGGGCUUUUUUGCCUACUACGAAAAAUAGUAUUUUAAGAGAAAACUAUGUAAGAGUUUGUGAUCUUUGUAUGUAAAAGUAUUAUUUUCCUUUGCUUGGUGUUCACGCGGUUUCAUUUAUGGCAAAAAUGGAAAAUCAUCGUACAAUAAUUGUUGAUAUUCUUUGCGGGAAAGAGAGAUCUUUUCACUUUUCAGAUCACACAAAGUAUUGUAUUUCUUAUAGGGGUGAUAUACAGUGUUCUAAAUCUGCACUUGUGAUUCGUUGUCCAUUUAAAUUUGGUUUCUUCCACAGAUUAUGUUGGUUUGGUGCUGUAUUUAUCUCAGCACUAAAGUAUACUGAUGUUAGCUAAGUCCAAUCAAAGGCCCAUGUUUUUAUCAUGUUAUACAAAUUAGUAAGCUAAGAUCUUACCAAACUCAAGUUACAUAAGCCCACACUACGUUAAAUACACAUCAUGCAGUACACAUGUUCAUCUUAGUGUUACGUUAUACUUGGCUCCGAGAUAAAUAAUUGUAUCAAUUAUUACUAUCUUUUGCAGCUUGUUUCUGCCUGUUCAUUGUAGAAUUAUCUUAUGUAGUCUCCCAAGGUUCAUGCAACUUGAAUUUUCAUACUUUGUUAGUAUUAGUGUUCACUAGGACUAGGUGCCACUCUGUAGAAGCUGAGGAUACAGAUGGAGAAAGUAGUCAUGGUUUUUUUUUUAAAAGUUUGUUCAUAUCUAUAAGAGGUUUAUGAAUUUUCAGUGUAUAGUGUUGUGAAACCUAGAGUGUUUUAUCUCAUUUAACAUUGAACUACGCUUUCAAGGAAAAACCUUCAUUUGACAUCGAACUAUGCAUGCAGGGCAAACACCCCGUGCUUCGGUGCCACCGCGCCGCGAACCCUGGGAGCUUGACCCUGGAUGGGUGUGAACUUAAGAUUGAUGUCAAGGUUAGGGGUCAGUUAUGGAUAGUGAAUAAAGGGGACGCUGCGAAACUGUUAUUAAUAAUAUGGAUGAAACAUUGCCUUGUGGAGAGAAUAAGAUAUUUCCAGAGAUAUUUAUAAAUGGAUCCAUCCUUGCAAUAGCAGUACAAAAUAUGAUGCUAACAUUUUAUUUUCAUUGUUGUUCCCAUUAAACUUCUGGUGGUGGCCCCAUUAUUCACAGCCUCGCACAUGAAAAUGUUAUUUCGUUCGGGUAAAUGUUGCGUGUCGUUGCUCCUGUAGUUUUGCGGUUUGCAUCUCCUUAAACUUUUGAGUUGGAUUUUGCGAAGUUGCAAUGCAAAUUUGGGAUGCAGGGAAGAUAAUAAACAAUGCUUUCUAAGAGCAUUUGAUAUUGGAUGCGACUCAGAAAGAACGCAUGCAAAUGCAAGAUGCACGAAGUAGUAGGCACAUGUCCAGGUUUAUUAAGAGCAUCUGCACCGGACGCCUCAUAUCUGCCACAAACGCUAGGGCAAACUUCCCGGUCAGUACUAGGACGCAAAAUUGCCACCCAACAGGAUCUGUAAAACCCGGCCCAAACGUCUAGACAUGACCGCACUCCCCAUAUCCAGCCCAUAUCUCGGACGGAUAUGUGGAAGCCCAGAGGCGCCCGGACACACCCGCCAGGUAGGAUCCGGCGAGUGCGGCCCACCCGACCCCACAUAAAUUGGACCCUAUCCGCACUCCGAGCGAAACCCAAGCGACAUUCAACUCCACUCUACUCCUCGCCAGGCCACUCCCCUCCACCCACAAGCCCCAUUUGCGGAUCUCCCACCAUUUCGAGCCGUUGAACCGGAGAUCGUCCCACGCGGCCCCAAGGAGGAGAUGGUCGACUGCCUUGCGCUUCUCCACUACCGGAGGAGUCCGCCCAGCAGGGGUCGAAAUCCAUCUGGCGGGAAUCCAUUGCGUCUGCCACAAUGGCGCAUGGAUAUAGCCCGAGGGCAGUUGCGGCUGCCUUAGCAGAGGCAGUGCAGUCCAUCUGGAGUCGGAACGCCGUGGAGGGAUACGCAACCACUUUGUUGGCACACUGAGAAAGAUAUGCACACCCGCUUAACGUCUGCUACAAAUAUGGUGUGGCGCAUCCACCGUGUUAGGCAAUGGGCACGGGAGCCCGCGGCAGCCCUCGUGCCAGACGCCAGUGGGGCAGACUCGCACUCUUCGGUGCCUCGUAUCGUGCCCGGCAGUCCUUGGCGCUGAAAUCAUGUCGUGUUGGACGCGGCCGGCUCCACCAUCAUGGAUCAAUCAUCGACCUCACAUCCACGAACGACAGGAGGGCACGGGCUCCGACGAGAAAGAGUAGGCCAUGGGAGAUGGCGCCGACUCGAGUUUCUUUUGCCGGGUCGUGUCCCAUGUCCUACUCUACCUCACCGGAGACCGACCCUCCACUUCGACAGGCUCAGACAACCAUCGGACAUGGACAGGUUCGGAACAACAAGGACAGUCGCUGGCGCAAAUUUAGACUACAGCCGUCGACACGAGGUGAGCGCGGCACGAGUUAAUCGCUGAAGAGGUUGGGCCGUUCUGUCGCCCGUGGUCGUACAGUUGCCGACGUAGUCGUCCAUGACCACCAGAUCGACACCGCCGCCACUGCAAGUCUAGGGGUCUCUGUAGUGGCUGAAGUCAUUUUAGUGUAUUUUCUUUGUAUUGUGAUGAUUGCAUACUGUGUUGCGUAUUGUGGCGUAUUUUCUUUGUAUUGUGAUGAUUAUAUACUGUACAAUGUAUUGUGGCAUAUUUUUUGUGGUCUAUUUUUAAAAAGAAAACUACAAAUAGCUAAAAGUGGUGUGCAGAAUAAAUUUAUACCCGCCACUACAAAACAAAUGCCAGGACUGACACAUAUUUUUACCCACCAUUAAUAGUAAUGCCCGCCACUGCGACAAGAUCGAGGUCGAUGGCGGGCUGUUUGUAACGCCCGCCACUGUUAUAGUCAUUUGUGGCAGGUGGAGCGCCCGCCACUAAUGCCAUGUUGCCAGUGGCAGGCGCCUCUGAGAGCCUUACCCGUCAUUGCUAGGCUUUUGAUGCCGCCACUGCUACGCAUUCCUGCGAUAGUGUGCAAUUGCGUAUCUAGUAAAACAUAUACAACUAUCCUCCCAACAAACAGUUUCGUCCUACCAUGGAGUUAUAGUCGGGUUGAAGACAUUCAUUUAUAAUCGGAAGUGACGUUGCAGUUGCAUAUCAAGUAGGAGAUAUUUAACUGCCCUAGUGACAAAACACUUUUGUUCCCUAAGUUACAGUCGCAUUGGAGACAUGCAUUAUCGAAACGACACCACCUGUAGUUGCGUGUUUGGAGUUAGACAUGCAACUAGCUCCACAAUAAUAAUCUGAAUUUUAAGUUUUAUUUAAUUUUAAAUUAAAGAAAAAAGAAAAGCUGAAGAUAUAAAAACAGAAAUAGAGAAAACAAACAAUAGGAAAAAUCCUAAAAAAGGCAAAAACAAACAAAGGAAAAAAAUGUUUGAAGUUUCUAGAAGCUUCAUAAAACCAGUAGAAAGAGUCCUACAUGGGGCGGCCCACUCACACAUGUAAAAAGAGGUGGGCGAGGUGUAUGUCGACUAGCUCAGAGUUGGGGAAUCCUAUUCCGCACAUAGGUCGCUACGUAGCCACCUAGCGCGUACCCCUCGGGUUUGUGGUCCUCUUCGGGUCGGUCCAUUCCAGGUUCUUCCCCAUACCGGUUUUUAGGAAGGUUCUAGACCUUUUUUUCUAUUUUCUUUGUUUCCUUCUAGUUUUUUCUUUAUUUUAUAUUUUAUAUAUUACUUCUUAUUUUCUUUUAUUUUAAUUUUCCUUUCUGGUGUUGCAAACAUAUUUUCAAAUUCGUAAACGUUUAUUGAAAUCAAGAACAGUUUUUGAGUUGACAAACAUAUAUCCAAAAUAAUGAACAUUUUCUAAUUCGACAAUACAUUUUGAAAUCACAAAAUAACAAAAAAACUAACUUUUGAGGACAUUUUUUAUAAAUUCUGAAAAUGUUUGUCAAUCGGCCGACAUUUUUUGAAUCUGUGAACAUUUCUAUGAAUUGACAUGAUUUUUUUGAAUUGGCAAACAUUUUUUGAAUCGAUGACCAGUUUCUGAAUCAAUGAAUAUUUUUUACAUGAAUGAACAUUUUUUUAAAUUCACAAUAAAUUUUUUUGUGAACAUUUAAAAAACUUGUUGAAUAUUGCUUGUAUGUCAACUUCCGUCCUGAUUAAUUAAAUAAAGUGGUGAUACCCAUCAAAAGAAAAUAACUAUGGUUGGCACAAAAUUUACUGCAAAUUAAUCAUGUGAUGAAAGACUUAGACGUGACAUAGUUUUUAUGUAUCCUGAUAAGUGCCACACGUCAGGGACGUUCUCAUGACAACUUUGAACAUUUUUUAUGACAAGUUUAGUUGCACGAGGAUGGCAAAUUUAAUUGACAAGCAUGAAAACAUUCAUGCUUUAUUUUAUUUUAAUAGAAACUUGUCGUGUGUCACUGAAAUUUGCCAUCCUUGGAUGACAAGAAUUGCCAUAAAAAAAGUCAGGCCCAAAGUGCAAAGCACCUGACGUGUAAGACCUAUCAUUUGGAUACUUUAUAUCUAAGAUAUUAUUUACCAUAACCAUAGCUGAGACAUUUGCCCCAAUGCAGGCGGGGCCGAUGAAAAGUCGAACCCCUUGCCAACCUACUGAAAAGGUGUACACGGUCUCCUUGGCGCCUCUAGGGAAAUAGCGCUCGUGCAAACGGUAUCCAGCUGCGUUAGCGCCGGCCCUGUCUGCCUCGUCUUCUGUCAACUUAGGGCUAUGCAAGCAUGGUGAAUCCCGGCCUUUGCAGCGGGAGGGCUUUGUUUUUUAUAUUUUUAUAAUUUUUUUUAGGGUUUGUGUUCUGUUUAGAGACGAGGCGGUGACUGCUCUCGAAAAAUGGAAUAAGAUUCUUCACGCCUAGCAUCUCGUUUUGGUGGUGCUUCUAGCGUAGUUGGAGGGCGAGUGAAAGUUUGUCUACGGGGAUCUCGCGGGAGUCGGUCGGCGUUUGUCUUAGGUGGAUCCACGUGAAUCUGGUCUUUGUUCGUGUGUCGACAGGUUGGAUAUUCCUGUCGACGCAUCUUUUCCACAACGGCGGUUCCUGUUUUGGUGGGUUGACCCUACAGGGAUUUAGCAUGAUGACUUUCUGACUGUCUAUUAUAGAAGUUUUGCCCAGCAUCAAUGAAGGAGGGGCGAUGACGAUGACGCGCCAUCUGCUUGAUUCUGUUUUUGUAAUCAUCCUUGGAUGGUCUACUGACCUAAAUAUAAUUUUUAUUAUUUCUAAUACUCAUUGUACUGUUGUGAUCGAUGAUGAUGAAUAGAUUAGAAGGUUUUCUCAAGAAAAAGAAAAAAAGACAUUUGCCUCAAUAUGGGUGACAUCUCCUGGCUUCUCCCGUUUUCUAUAUUUGAAGCCUACAAGUUCCUGGAAUUCAGCUCGGCCCGCCAAAACCAUCCCUUCUUCGCCCUCCUCCUAUUCCCUCCGCACCCCUUGUCCGAUCCAUCGCCAUUUGCAACCUCGCCAAGCCAGCCUCCUUUGCUCCGUAUCUGCCUACCAAUGCUGUCGUCGAUGUUCGGGACGCGGCCGGCGGGGGAGCCGGACCCGCCGGAGCCCAAGCCGGAGCCGUCGGGGCGGCAGCUCUCGGACGGGGACCUGCUGGAGGAGCUGGUUGCCACCGUGGGAGCCGCACAGGCGUUCCAGGAGUUCCGACGGUCGCACCGCAAGGAGUGCUUCAACCUGCUCCGCUGGCUCCAGCUCGUGCUCCCGCUCAUCGAGGAGCUCCAAGAGGCGUCCCCACCCCGCCCGCUCACCGACGACGCCCACCGCCGCCUCGCGCUCCUCAGCCGCGCCUUCCAGGCCGCCCGCCGCCUCCUCCGCUGCUGCCAUGACGGCAGCAAGAUCUUUCUCGUGCCUAAUCGAUCGCCUCUUCGAUCGCGUCUCGUCUCCUGCCGUCAAGGGAUUGCCGGGAUUUCUGAUUCGUCUCUGGUUUUCAUGGUCGCAGUCGCUGGAGAGCGAGGCGGUGCAGGGGAGGUUCCGGGCCGUGUACGAGAAGCCUCAAGGGGUAUGUGGCGACCAUCGGCAUGCGACUGAUCAGGAGGAGGAGCAGGCAUGUGAGUGGCCCUGCGAGAACCGCGGGGGCAGGACGAAAAUGUCACUUGCACACCACGCUCCUCCUCCUCCAUCUCUUCUUCAUAGUCAGAGCCCUGGAAGAAGAGGACCCUGUGAUCACAGCCCAUUUUCCAGCAUGCUUGUGUGGACGCAACUCCUCCUGAGAGUCAUCAGAACCACCACGACGAGAGGCGCGGGCAGAGGUACCCCCGGCAUCCUUGUGAGCGGUGUGCUUGAUUUUCACCAUCAUGGGACGAACCUCACAAGAUCAGGAAGUGGGGCGACGGAGAGGAGGGGAGGCCGCGGCGAUGCAGCUCCCCCAGGCGACGGUGAGGGAACAAUCACCCUCCAGGCGACACGGCAGUGGACUCAAUUGUGGGGAGGGGGAAAAGAGGAUUGGGCAAACGCUCGGCCUGACCCCAAAGUAUUUAUGUGAACCACGGUCGGAUGUCCGGGCACUGGUGGACGUGCCAGGCGACGGACCGCCGGAGAACCUCGGUCAUCCGAGACCUGGGGAGUGAUUUGGGCGGUGCACGAUUUCUGGACAAGCAACCGGACAGCCCAGUGACUCCGGACGACCGGAACCUGCGAGUCAUCAGACUUCCGAGAAGCGUCAGACGACCAGUGGCAAAAUUUUGGCAGAUAGCACACAAAAUAUCUAGAGGAACCAAAAUACAAGAAUGGGUAUAAGACAAAAUAGUAUGGUUAAUCAGACAUGUAAGAUACCACAUGGUAAGCAACUAAACAGACAUGAUAAGAAUCCCCAAACAUGAUUGGACAUCCUCUCUUUUGAGGAGAGUCGGUGCCCACUAGGCCACAAUGUGUGAGUAUAAGUGUCGUGAUGGCGCGAAGAUAGUGUCCUUGGGCUCAAUAACUACUCCAUCACUUGAAGUGCCAUAGUUCGAAGAACAUGAUAACUUUGAGAGUGUUUGUUUUAUUUAUGCAUUAUAUAGGGUGAGAGUACUCAUGAGUUGAGUGUCUCCCCCUAAACGUAUGCCUACAUCUACACAAGACAUGAAUAAAAUGCAUGGAUGGGUACUAGGUUUCACAUAAUGUUGUCUAGCUCCAAGAUACCAAGUUCACGCCUAAGUUGACAAAACCUUGCUUCAUCCAAUGGCUUGGUGAAAAUGUCUACAAGUUGCAUAUCUGUGCCAACAUGAGCAACAUCAAUAUCACCCUUUCCCACAUGAUCUCUUAAGAAAUGAUACCUAAUAUCAAUGUGCUUGGUGCGGGUAUGAUCUUUGAAUUCUUAGCAAUAAUGAUGGCACUUUCAUUAUCACAUAGAAGAGGCACAUGUCUAUAGGUGAUACUGUAAUCCUUCAAAGUUUGCCUCAUCCAUAUUAAUUGAGUUGCACAACUGGCGGUUGCAAUGUAUUCGGCUUCGGCAGCGGAGAGGGCAACACAAGUUUGUUUCUUCGAGGACCAACUUACCAAGGAGCGUCCAACAAAUUGACAUGCACCGGAGGUGGACUUAUGAUCCACUUUGUCUCUAGCCCAAUCCGCAUCCGUGUACCCAAUGAGAUCAAACUUAGCAUCCUUGGGGUGCCAUAUAGACCCAACUUUGUGGUGUGAACAAGGUAUCUAAGAAUAUGCUUAACCGUCUUAUGAUGACUUUUCCUAGGGGAAGCUUGAAAGCUAGCACACAUGGAUACACUGAACAUGAUGUCUGGUAUAGAUGCACAAAGAUAAAGCAACGAACCAAUCAUAGAGCAGUAAGUAGAUGUGUCGAAGGGAUACCAUUUGUGACUUCAGUGAUUACAAUUUUGGUUGGCAUGAGCGUCUUACAUGGACUAGCAUCAGACAUGCCAAACUUCUCUAGAAUAUCCUUGAGGUACUUUGCUUGAGAAAAUAAUAUUCCUUCUUGAAAUUGUUGAAUUUGGAAUCCGAGAAAGAACUUAAAAUCCGCAUUGAGUGACAUCUCAAAGUUCUUGGUCAUGGAAACCACAAACUUCUUGCACAAAUGAAUGUUAGGACAAUCAAAAAUGAUAUCAUCUACAUACAUUUGGCAUAAGAUCAAAUCAGCCUUGUCCCUCUUAGUAAAAAGAGUGGGAUCGAUCACCACUCUCACAAAACCAUCAUCAAGUAAAAACUUAAGAUGAUCAUACCAAGCACGAGGUGCUUGUUUGAGGCCAUACAAAGCCUUAUGAUGUUUAUACACAUAGUAUUUGUGAUCGGGAUCAACGAACCCAGGUGGUUGUAAUACAUAUACUUCUUCCUGUAGAGGACCAUUAAGGAAAGAACUCUUCACAUCCAUUUGAUGUAAUGUAAAACCAUUGAAAGCAGCAUCAGAAAGUACGAUGCACAUAGAUUCAAGACGGGCAAUGGGAGCAAAGGUCUCACCAAAGUCCAAACCUUCAACUUGUGAGUACCCUUGUGCCACUAACCUUGCCUUAUUGCGUAUGAUUACACCAUUCCCAUCUUGCUUGUUCUUGAAAAUCCAUUUUGUUCCAAUGACAUUGUGUUCCGUAGUUGGCCUCUUGACUAAUGACCACACUUGGUUGCAUCCAAAGAUGUUCAACUCUUCUUGCAUAGCAAUGAGCCAAUCGUUGUCCAUCAAUGAUUCUUGUACCUUGAGAGGCUCAACACUAGACACAAACGAGAAGUGAGCACAAAAGUUUGUCAAUUGUUUACGAGUGACUCUACCUUCUGAUAUGCCGGUGAUAAUUUUAUCAACAUCAACACGACUGGGCACAUGGGGCAUGAUGGAGGUUAGGGUUUCAUGAGUUUAACUUCAUGUCCAUCAUCCACAUCCUCAACAUAUGGAUCAUUAAUGUGUGGUGGAAGAUCUUCCUCUUCAUAUUGCAUUUGUUGAGGUUCAUCAUCAAUGAUUGCACUUUCUUGUUCUUGCACUAGGUGAUGAUCUUGCUCAUGGAGAUAAUCAUGAUGAGGGACUUGAUCAUCUUCUUGUUCUGCAACUAUGGGCAUUGGUUGAACAAUAGGAGCUUGUGAUGCUAUGGGUGUUGAAGUGGUUUGAUGAUGUGCGAAACUUCCAUCUUCUUCUUCAUCAUCAUGAGGUUCUUGUUCCAUGGGAAUAAGAGCACCAACACCCAUGGAGAAAAUAUCUUGAGACGAAUCUUCUUCACCUACAUAACUUAGAUCAACUUGCUCCCCAUGGGAGUCAUUAAAUUCAUCAAACACCACAUCACAAGUUUCUACAACACAUCCAUUGGAUUUGUUAUAGACUCUAUAGGCGUGAGAGUUUGAUCCAUAACCAACAAAUAUGACCUCAGUUGUUUUGGAUUGAAAUUUUCCUAACCGUUCUCUUUUGUUGAGUAUGAAACAUGUGCACCAUAAUACACGAAAAUACUUGACAUUUGGCUAUUUACCGGUUAGGAGCUCAUAUGGAGUCUUUUCCAAUAUUUUGCGGAGAAAGAGCCGGUUUGAUGCAUGGCAUGCGGUGUUGACAGCCUCGGCCCAAAAACUAUGUGGCGACUUGUAUUCAUCCAACAUGGACCUUGCCAUCUCCACAAGUGUACGAUUCUUCCUUUCUGCAACACUAUUUUGUUGAAGCAUGUAUGGUGCAUAAUAUUGAUGCUCAAUCCCUUCAUCACUAAGAAAUCCUUCCAAGGUGUAGUUCUUCAACUCGGAGCCAUUAUCACUUCUUAUUGCCAAGAUUUCUUUGUCAAACUUGUGUUGUGCUUUCUUGGCAAAAUAAUGAAGGUGAUCUUCGUCUCGUCCUUGGAAAUGAGGAAAAACAGCCAAGUAUAUCUUGAGUAAUCAUCAACAAUGACAAAUCCAUACUUUUUCCCAUGAAGACUAUCCCAUGAAAGAGGCCCAAAAAGAUCCACAUGAAGGAGCUCCAAAGGCCUUGAAGUAGACACGAUAUUCUUGGGUGGGUGCUUUGAUUGAUGUAGCUUCCCGGCUAUGCAUGCACUACACACAUGAUCUUUCUCAAAAGAGACAUUGGUUAGUCCAAGGAUGCGAUUACCCUUUAAGAGAUCUUGAAGAUUUCUCAUGCCGACAUGGUCUAGCCGGUGAUGCCAUAGCCACCCCUUGUUGGCCUUGGCCAUUAGACAAGUUGCAUGGAAUGUUCUCUCUUUCGAGAAAUCAACCAUGUAAAGUUUGCCAUCCAACUCUCCAACAAAGGCCACUUCGAGAGUAUCUCUCUUAAAGACUUUCACAUCUGUUAGUCUAAAGAGUGUAUCAAAGCGAACAGAAGCCAGUUGGCGAACGAAAAGCGAAUGGUAUUUAAGGGAUUGGACAAGCAUGCCAUUUGCAAGAGACAUGUCAUUUGUGAUAGCCACCUUGCCCAAACCGAGUACCUCUCCUUUUGAUCCUCCACCAAACAUAAUGCUCAUAAAUGGUUGAAUAGCUUCCAUGAAAUCGCAAAGCAAUGUGCUAUCUCCGGUCAUAUGAUUUGUGCAUCCACUAUCGAUCACCCAUUUUACUCCACCAGAGAAAGCAACCUACACACAAUUAUGACUUGGUUAGAGGCACCCAUUUUUCAAUGGGACCUCUCAAGUUAGUCACAAGGGUCUUAGGACCCAAAUAGGAUAGAACCGGAAUGUAUUCUGAGGACCAACAAUUUUGCAUAAACUUCUCCAUCCUUAGUUUUACGGAGUACAUAGGAUGGAGGCAUGAACUCUUUUGGCUUGUUGAGAGUGGACAUGCCCCUAGUGGCCUUCCCACUCACAACCUUACCUCUCUCCUUAUGUCCUUUUUAUGCAAACAUUUCUUUUAGAGGAGUGGUGCACUUUUGAGAUGACGUCUUCUUCUUGCUUGUGCUUGGGUCAAACCCGAGCCCCUCUUUGGAAAACACCUCAUAGUGUUGGCUCAAUACCUCAUUAAAAUUCUUUUGUCUUGAGCACAUGUCAUGAGUCCUUUCUCGAUUUGCGCCUGGAGAAAGCGAUUUUCCUCAAGAGUAGAUGGUAGGUCACCACUAGAGUUAGUAGUACAAGCAUCAACAUUGAUAAUAGGAGAAGAGUAAGCCUUGGCUAGAGUUUCAAGAUAGGUAAGCUUGAGUGUCUCAAAAAUCUUUGUAAGAAGAGUGAGCUCUUCUUCCUUAGUCUUGAGGGACACGGAUAGAAGCUCACAAUCCUUGGAGAGAGAAGCAUCAGACUCCACAAGCUUACUUUCAUCAUUCAUCAACUCCUCGCAAGAAUCCUUUGCCUUUUUCAAGGAGGCACGCUCUUUAGCAUGAACAUCAAGGUUAGCACCAAUUUUCAUGCAUAGUUCAUCAUUUCGGGCUUCCUCAUAUUGGACUUUCCACUCAAGGAUUUCAUAUUUUUCCUUUCCUCGGUGACGAUGGUUUUGAGUUCCUUAAUGGUGAUAGUGUGCUUACUCUCCAUUUCCAUAAGCAUACGAAACAUAGUGAGCUUCUUUCCUUUGAGGGAGCACAUGAAGUUAUUUAGUUUAGCAAGCAUAGGAUCAUCUAUAUCGUCAUCAUCAUAACUAUCCUCCGCAUCAAGAUACUCAUCACUAGGAGUAGAAGGAGUGAAGAGAUGAGGGUUUGAUCGUGGGGUUACCUUGACCUUGUCAGGAGAGUUUUGGUCCUCUCCAUCUUCUACCACGGCCUUUGCCAUUAGACACUUGUGAGCGUUGACCUUGUAGUCUUUCAUAUAGUCGUAGGUGACAACAUCACUACUCUUGUUGACUAGCCUCAAAGUGUUUUGAGAAUCUUGAGCAACUCCGGCAACACCACUAACAUCAUCUGUAUCGGAUUCUUCAUGAGCAACCAUUACUUUCCCAUCUCUCUUCUUGAGCUUGGAGUUCAAAGGAUUUGGAAACUUUUUCUUGGGAAAGGUCUUAGGAGACCUUGGUUUAUCUUCUCUCUUCUCAUAAGGGCAAUCGUUUGAGAAGUGAUUGGUUUCUUCACAGUUGUAGCAUUUUCUCACUUUCUUCUUCUGGAAUCUUCCCUUAAAUUUUCCCGCGCUAAACUUCUUGACAAAGAGAGCAAUGUCUUCAUAUGAAGGGCUCUUGUCGGAGUCAAUCUCAUCACCAUCUUCUUCUUCACUUUGCUCUUCUUCACAUACAUACUUGGCCUUCAAUGCAAGAUUGAUCUUUGAUGUUGGGGUACCGUGCAUGACAAGAUGUUUUGUGGCAUUUGCCAUUGAUUCUUCAAAUAGUUUGAACAUGGAUAUGAUGUCAUCCAGGGUCAUUUCCUUGAAUCCAUGGUGUUGUCUUAUGUACCAUACCAUUUGGUGAUGAUAUGGAGCAAGAGCAUGAAGCAACUUGUCCACGAGAAAUCCCUUAGUCAAGUUGAAUCCAUCUUGUGUCUUGUCACAAUCACAAGACUCGAUGUCGGCGGUGAGAGUCAUGAGAUGUUCAAGGAGCUGCAUGGGGGAUUCACCAUUAUCCAUAAUUUUUUUUUGCAAUUUACCCUUGGCAAUUUCAUAUUGAGCAAGCCGGAGUGUGGAGGUGCCGGUCUUGGUACUCACAAUGCUAUCCCAUAAUUCCUUGGCACUUGUGAUGUGUAUGUAUGCUCUCCUUUGCUUGUCAGUCAUACCUCUCCUUGUGCACAUGAUUGCGGUCUCAUUGAGAUUCUUUUCAUAUACUUCUCUUGGUGUAAGAUUCUUCGGGUCUACAACUUGAUAACCAUACUUCAAGAUCUCCAACAUCUCGUCAUUUCCAUAUCGAAGAUGAUCCUGCAUAGCAACUCUCCACAAAGUAAAAUCGGUUGUGUCAUCAAGUAAAGGAGGUUUGCCUUGAGGUUUAUAUGUUGGUUUCUCUACUUGAGUCUUGCAUAAAGCCAAGGAACACUGGAGUGUUCAUUAGUAGGAGGUUGUUGGCCAAGUGAAGGAGUAGGCACAGUUGGCCUCGAGGGUGCACCACCAGAAAGUGGUGCAAGCAUCGUGGUCAAUGUGGCUAGUCUCAUUUGGACCAAGGACUCAAGAGAAGAAUCAUGCUCCUCCUUUUGCUUAGCAAGCGCCCGUUCCAGGUCCCCAGAAGUGAAGGACUUGUCUUCCGUGGAAGCCGCGCCCUUCUCCUGCGGAUCCGCAACAAGGGGAGUCCCAUCGGGGUUCAUCUCGCUCUAGAGCGGUUAAGCCACAAGAAUAGAGCACAAGGCUCCGAUACCAAUUGAAAGGAUCGAAAUGGACCUAGAGGGGGGUGAAUAGGUACAAUUACAAAUUUUAAUUAUUACUUAGCAAUUUUAGGCAAUAAAGCAGAAUCUAAAAGUGAUCCUAACAAGUGUAAGUAAGAUGCUAAGAGCUAAGCAAGGUAAACAAGUAACACAAGUAUGUGAGUAAGCAAACACAAUAUGAUAUAUGUAAGGCCUAAGAGACAAGUAACCACAAGUAGGAAGUUAGGGUUAGGGAUAACCGCAACUUCGAGAGACGAGGAUGUAUGCCGAUGUUCACUUCCUUGGAGGGAAGCUACGUCACUGUUAGAGAGGUGGAUGUUACCACGAAGGCACACCAACGCCAUGAAGGCUCACCCUAUUCUCCCUUGAGACAAAACCACGAAGGUGUUUCUCAAUGACUAGUGGUAUACCUUGGGGUGAUCUCCAAACCCUCACAAACUUUCCGGGGGUGAUCACAAUGAACAAUUCCUCUCCGAAUACUCCUACUGCCUAGGAGUCUCCAACCUCCAAGAGUAACAAGAACAAUGGGGAAAAUCUCAAGACUUGCUCAAAUCACGAAUUCCUUUGGUGCAAAGAGGGGGAAGGAGUGGAUCUAUCACUUGGGUAGACAACUUCUCUCAAUUGGCCUCAAUCCCUUGGGGAUCUAAGAUUUGGUAUUGGAGAUUGAGAGAGAGAGUGAAAUGUGUUCUGAGGAUGUUUGAAGUGAAUGGUCAACCCUCUCACGGGAUAGGAGAGAGAUAUUUAUAAGUGGCCGUUGGAGCCCAAAACAGCACAACAGCGUCAGACAUCCGAUGCACAAUGGAUGACCGAAGUCUCGGCAGACACCAGACGUCCGACAAGGAUCGGACGUCCGAUGUUUUGGCACGGUAUAGUUGGUACCAGAUGACCGGAGAAUCCCGGACAUCCGAUUUUUAGGCUCGGUGGAGAAGUUACUGGGCGAUUGAAGUAUAUCGAAUGACCGAUGUUUUGCCACUAUAUAGAAUAUACCGGAUGACCGAAGGGUUCCGGACAUCCGAUGUUUUGGUUCUGAUGGAAGAUUGUCGGACAUCCGUUGUGCACCGGAUGUCCAAUGUUUUGGUUUUGAUGAAAGAUUGCCAAACGUCCGGUGAAUGUUGGACGUUCGAUGUUUUGGCUUUGUAUAGGAGAAGUCGGACGUCUGGUGAGUACCGGUCGUCCAACAGAGAUGAAGACUAGAUAAUGAGCUUGAAGUAGAUAUUGAGCAAGACUCUCACAAGACCCCAUGUUCCCCUCUUAAUAGUGUGGGAUCCCUAUACUCAAGAAUAAACAUAAAUUUAGUCUUGUUUCUUCGUUCUUGAUGAAGUUAAAUAUUUCCUAACUCGUAGUCCACACACACAAUGGAUUCUGAGGGGAUUAAAACCUGAGAUAUACUUGACAAACUUUGUUAGUCCCCUAUGAGUAUAUUGUCAUCAACAUCAAAAUAAAAUUAAGGGCAUGAUUGCACUUUCACUUGGGCCGUCCAACCCCCCAUGUAUUAGCGCAUCGGGUCAGGGAUGCGGCAGGGACAGCGGUGGCACUCAGCGCGGUAGCGACUAUGACAGCGACAACGAUGACUACACCUGGUUCUACAGGCUCCUCGGCACGUAGAAGGCGGGAAGCGGCGGCGACAUAGUAGUGCUAGACGUAGUUCUCGUUCUUAAGUUACUUUAAUUUUUGUUUUCAAGUUUUUGUACAAAUGUCAAUGAAAUCGCCUAGUUUGGACGAAUUUGUGUCCUGUUUGGUCAAUUUUCUUUUUCAAAAAACAACGUCUGGGGCGACCUGGGGGCAGUGGCCGAGAACCCGAUCGGCCCCGUACCGAAAUUAUUGCCUGUUCACCUCUAGGCGGCGCUAUUUCUAGCCCAUGGGGGGUCAAAUGGCUGAAACAGGCUCCUCCUGCAUUGCAUGCUCGACUUGGCUCGGUUCUUUGACAUCUUGGAUUUGCUCCGUCCACUACUGACACACCUCUGUUCAUGUUCCAUCGUCCUGAGGUUACUAUGUACCUACUGGUUUAUGUUGAUGACAUUAUUCUUAUUAGCUCCUUAGUGACUGCCGCUGAUCAUCUGCUGUCUGCUCUAAGUGGUCGUUCUGCCGUCAAGGAUCUAGGUGCUCUCCAUUACUUCCUUGGUCUGGAAGUUUCACGGUCCCCUGCUAGCCCGACUCUCACUUAGCAUGAGUAUUCCUUGGACUUGUUGCGACAUGCUGGUACGUUGCAAUGCAAGCAUCCUACCACCCCUAUGUCUGCGACUGAUCGGUUAUCAACCUUGGAUAGUGCCUUGCUUCCUUCAGACAACCCUACAGAGUACCGCAGUAUUAUUAGUGGCUUGCAGUACUUGAAUAUCACACGACCGGAUAUCUCCAAUGCAGUCAACCGUGUGUGCCAGUAUCUUCAUGCUCCUCGUACUUCACACUACUCAUCUGUGAAGCAUAUACUACGUUAUCUCUCUCAUACCGUCUCCUAUGGCUUGCAUCUUUGGUCUACCUCCUCGAGUGUUCUCUCGGCAUUCUCUGAUGCAGAUUGGGUUGGGAGCCUAGAUGACCGGCGAUCAACGAGGGGCUAUCCUGUCUUUUUUUAUCGCAACCUGAUUGUCUAGAGUGCAAGGAAGAAGGCUACAGUAUCUUGGAGUGGCACUGAAGCAGAUUACAAGGCGGUUGCCAAUCCCACGACUGAGCUUAUUUGGGUACACAACCUCUCAAGAGUUGGGAGUCUCUCAAGAACAGCCACCGGUUCUUUGGUGUGAUAAUAUUGGUGUGACGUAUCUUUGAUCUAAUCUAGUUUUUCAUGCUCGUCCCAAGCACGGAGAAGUUUAAUAUCACUUCGUGAGGGAACGUGUUGCACAAAAGCUUCUUCAUAUCAAGUUCAUAUCCUCCAAAGAUCAACUUGCUGACAUCUUCAUGAAGCGACUUCCACAACCUCAGUUUGAAGGAUUUAGGCUCAAUCUUUACUUCCUUUGUACUUAAGGACACAGUUAAGCACUAGUGGAAAAAAGCCUAACUAUGGCGUGGCAAAUAGUACCUUGCUGGCGUAGACACCCAACCACUACUAGGGAAAACCUUAUACACAUAAUCUUACCAACAACGCGGUUUAAAAUAAGGCGCUACUGCUACUUAGCAGUAGCGUGUGGCAACAAACCACGCUACUGAUAUCUGCAUAGCAGUAGCGCGUUAGGAGGAAACAACGCUACUACUACAGUUGCCACGACUUUGCCGCGCUAGGUCCUAGGUAUUAAGAACAAUUAGUUAGUGUUGAUUAUAUAUGACUAUGAUGAUGAUGAGAAGUUUUUAUUAUGGCUACAAUGUGUUAGAGUUGAUGAUGAUGAGGAGGAGGAGGAGAUGUUAUUAUGAGUACUGUGAUCAUGAUGAGGAGGAUUUGUUAUUAUAACUAGUGACCAAGUUGUUAUAUGAUGUCUCAUGGAUGGAAAAGAUGAUGAGGAGUUGUUAUAUGAAAAUGAUGUAUUAUAAUGAUAAGUUGUUAAUGAUAUUAUGAUGAUGAUGAUGAUGAUGAGUUAUUACAUCAUUGGGUGAAAGAACCGUGGAUUAGUUUCAAGUUGAUGGAUCCAAUUUGACCAUUUGUCACUUUGGAUCAAUCCACUUGAAACUAAUUCGUGGUUCAUGGUCACUUUGGAUACAUUCACUUGAAACUAAUCCGCGGUUCUUUCACCCAAUGAUGUCAACUCAUUAUGAUGUAAAACCAAACUCUAAAUUGCUAUUGUAUGAAAACUUGUGUAAUGGUGUAUGAAUACGACAUAAAACAAAAAAGAAAUAGAAUACGUAAUAAUAGUAGUAGCGCAGUUAGAGAGCAGCGCUGCUAGUAACUUCCAGUAGCGCAUUGUACCAAAAGUGCUACUUCUAUGUAUGUAUAACAGUAGCGCGGGAAAACCCACGCAGCUGCUACACUUUAGUUGUAGUGCUGUAGAAGUACUGCUAGGAUUUUUACUAGUGUACGCCACAAACAUGGUGCCAUUGUUAAGAUAUAGUGGUGGUGUAGGUUGACACAUCAGUAGUAUCGUACAUCGUGCUCGCGUGUAACCAGUGCAGCGCCAGCACUAAGUUCAUCAUAACUCUAGCGACCCUACUUGUCCAAUACCAGCAAAUGAUUUUUUUGGUAAUAAUUUUUUCUCAACACUAUCUACUUACUUAAUAGAUACUAUUGAACACAAUAAACUCAUCAACACUAGGUACUUAAUUAAUAGACUGUCAUUACAGAAGAGGCUUGAGAACUCAACAAGUUGAUAUUAAUUAAACUUCACAAAAGUUGCUCACUCAAGUACUCUAGUUACUCGAUCAUCAUCAAAUAAUAAGAUGAACUAGUCUUCAUCAAGGAGUAUACCCAGAUGGAGAAGCUUCUUUCUAUCCCCCUCUCCUUCUCUUUCGAAAUGAUCUAUGUCCAUCUUGAGGUCAAUCCUCUCAUUCAUGAGGUGUCUCAUCUCCUCCUUCAGUUUAUCCCGAUCCUCGACGAGCUUAUCCCUCUUGUCCCUAAGCUGAUUAGUCUCCUGAAUGGGCCGAACAUUCUCCUUGUGUAGUUGUUUAAUCUCCCCCUUGAGCUCGUCAUUUGCCCCUUGCAUGCUCUUGAUGACAUACUCAUAAGUGUUUAAGAAUUCAUUGUUGGCCAUGUCCACAUCGCACACCGACUCGUUGUUACCUCCAGAAUUGGUCGUGACCUACAAACAGAAUGCGUAUACGAUCAAGAUAAUAUGCAACUUCAUAUCACUGAAUAAAUAUUGCAAUGUAUAGAACUAAUUAAACUAGAUAGCAGGUAUAGAACUAAUUAAACUAGAUAGCAAUGUAAUGUGUAGAACUAUUGGACUGUGACUACAUUUGCCACACUAUUUUGCCACACCUAACUUGGAACAUUACUUUCGAGUGGAAAUUUUCUUUGGACAAUCAACUAUUUUGCCACACCUAACUUGGAGCAUUACUUUCCAGUGGAAAUUUUCAUUGGUGAAAAAGUAGUACACAACAGAUUUUCCCCAAGGUAUUUAUGGAUUACAGUAGCAACUCAAACACUUUGUUUUAGAAUUUAAAAUGCUUCCAAAGAUGAUGACUCAAAAAAUAUAUCUACCUUACACUACACUAGGGAAAACCCUAGUAGUAUAGCGCUUGAAAUAUGCAUAGCAGUAGCGUUGGGUCCAGUGCUACUGCUAUCGCGCUACAUCUAAACCCUAGUAGUAGCGCUGGUAUGGGCAGCGCUACUGGUAAGUUGUAGCGACCAGACCUCAAACGGUCCGAUCUCUAUGCUUCAGUGUCAUCCCUGGAUUAGUAAUGCUGACACGCAUAGUACUUGAAGGAUUUAUAACAGAGUGGCAAUCACACACUUAUUACAACGAAUGUCUCAAAAGAGAACUUAUUACAAUAAAUAUGGCUUAAGGCCAUCUAAUAAAGAUAACAAUGGAAGGUUUGGAAGAUAAGUGAGUCCAUCAACUCCAAUGUCAUCACUGAGCAUAAGACCACGAUCCUAAGGCAUCUUACUUGUCGUCUGAAAAGUCUGCAACAUGAAUGUUGCAUCCCGGAAACGGGUCAGCACAUGGAAUGUGCUGGCAAUGUAACACAUAGAGAGUAAUGAACAUAAUAAUGCUAUCACUACAUGCAUAUAUGGCUGGUGGAGAACUCUAUGGUUACAGUUUUGCAUAAAUCUAAUUUUUCCCUACAACAAAGGAAUAAAUUUUAUUUAACUAUCAUGGUGAUUGUUAAACAUUGAGAAGGUAGACACCCUCUCAAUCCCAAUUAAGCAUCAUCGUUAAACCCAACAAAUUAAAUUAAAGUAACAUGAUGAGAUUCACAUGAUAAUCCAAGUACUAGAUACUCAAAACGUCUAUAAUCGGGGACACAACUAACCAUGAUUACUUUGUACACUCUGUAGAGGUCUGCGCACUUUUCCCCACAAGACUCGAUCUCCUCCGUUGGAUUUCUCGCACUACAAGGUGUUUGAGAAACGGAUGACCGAGACAUGGUCUUUCAGAAGCGUUUGCACCUUACGAUCGGGUAGAAAGUUACACCUACUUUCCCCUACAUCUGCUAGUCUACCACUGUAAGUGUUCACACGACUUAAUCAACUAUGCUAGAGCCCAUAGUAUCUUGUGGCUGCACAUGGAAGUUUCUAGCAUGAAUAAUCUCAUGAUCUGUUUGAGCCUGGGUGGCGGUCCAAAAAAACAGGCAAUCGCUGGAAUACCCAGGUGCCUCAAUCCACCCAGAUGUGUAUUAAAGUUGCCACCUUAAAUAAACCAUUUAAUAAUAAUCUCACAUCUAUCAUGGAUUCACUCACCCAACCCACGUCUACUAGCAUAUCAUAGCAAUAAAAGCAAAUGUAGAAGUAACUCCCAAAGGUUUGAUGAUAAAACAGGUAAUAGGUACUAUCUCAUCUACUUCUGAAAACCCACAUAUUAAUUAGAUCCUAAUCAUGCAACUUUUUGACGAUGGAUCUAAUGCAAUAAAACUGGGUAGUAAAGAGGUAUGAUCAAAGUGUUACUUGCCUUGAUGAUGAUCCGUGAAACCUAGAGAUUCGAAGUAGCAAGCGGCGCACUCCGGGUACUCUAUCGCAAACAAACAAACAAGCAUACAAUAAGUACUCAACUAAUGCAUAGGUAAAACUCAAAUAAGAGAUCUAACCAGAAAGUGCAACUUAAGAACUCCGGUUUGCAAAAAGAAUCAAAUCAAACGAACCAACGAAACUCAAACGGCGAAAGAACCAAGCUUCAUUUAAUAAUCUAGACCUAAGUCCAAAUUUUACAGUAGCCAAAACUUGUUUGAGUUGGUUAAACAGAAAGAGGGUUUCGAGACGAAACUCUAGGCGCUUGAAUCGCCUGAUUCCGAUAAACGAGCGAAAAGAUAAACUAAAAUGAAAAUCGGACCAGAAAUCACAAUCUAGAAUAAUCGCGGAAAAUCCGAGAAAAAUAAAAACUGACGAACAGUCUAACGGACAGACCUUCAUUGACUUCAACUAAACGACGAAACUCAUCUGUUAAAAUGAACGAUCGAGCGAACGCUCGCUAAAUAAAUAUACCGGAAGAAAAAUAAAAAAACCGAUCUAAAAAAAACGAACCAGUUUUCUCUAGAAAAACGGAGCGGCGGCGGGCGGCUACCUCGUCGGAACUCCGACGGGGUCCGGCGGCUUCCGCGGGUCCCGGUGGCGGCGGGGCUCCAGGCGGCGGCGGGAGGCGGUGGCGGCAGCGGCGAACGGCGGCGGCGGCGCGAACGUCGACGGCGGCGCGAACGGCGGAGGCGGGAGGCAAGGUGGAUUGGGUGGCGAGGUGGGGCUGGCGACGGUGGUAUUUAUAGGAGGGGGGCGACAGUGGCUUGGGGAAGAGGGCACCUGGGUCGGGGUCGGCCUCAGGAGGCGUGCUCCGGCCGGACUCGGCGGCGGCGGCGGGGAGGACUUCCCUCCCGCGAGGAAGGCGGCGGCGGCGCGGGCCUGGCCCGGCUCGGCUGGGCCUUCGCCCAGUCGGGCGCGCAGAACUUUUUUUUUAAAAUAAAUUCCGCAGAAACUAAGAAAAUUCUAGAAAAUAAAAUAAAAUUCUAAAAAUGCAAAAAAAAAUUUCACCGUCUAAAUAAAAUAUUUAGGACGAGAUGAACAUUUUCUUGGCCCUCAAAUGCAGUUUUGAAAAACGUGCAAUUUUUCCUAAAUUCAAAUAAAAUAGCGAAAAACUCCGAAAUAAAAUCUUAUUUGAUUUUUUUAUUAAAUCCUCAAUAUUUCUUUAUUUUUCGGAAGUCAUUUUUUCCCUCUCUCUUAUUUUUAUAAUCGAAAUAAUUGAAGAUAAAAUAAAUAAAAUCAAAUGAUCCUAUUUUCAAAAUUUGAGAAAAAUCAAAUAUGAAAAUAACGAAAUUCCCAACUCUCUCCAAGGGUCCUCGAGUUGCGUAAAAUUUCUAGGAUCAAGCCAAAAAGCAAUAAAAUAUGAUAUGCAAUGAUGAUCUAAUGUAUAACAUUCCAAAUUGAAAAUUUGGGAUGUUACAAAUCUACCCCCCUUAAGAUGAAUCUCGUCCUCGAGAUUCGGGUUGGCUAGCAAAUAGGUGAUGGUGGUCCUUCAGCAGAUCUUCCUCUCUCUCCCAUGUGGCUUCAUCCUCGAUGUGGUGGCUCCACUAAACUUUGCAAAACUUGAUAACCUUGUUGCGUGUGACUCGGUUGGCAAAUUCGAGAAUUUUGACUGGUUUCUCCUCAUAGGUCAAAUCAUUAUCCAACUGAAUCGCUUCCAGGGGCACUGUAUCUCUUAGCGGUAUAUCAGCCAUCUCUGAGUGCCAAUUCUUCAACUGGGAAACCUGGAACACAACAUGAACUCCUGACAAUCCUUCUGGCAAUUCCAACUUGUACGCAACUUCUCCCACGCGCUCCAAAACUUUUUAUGGUGCCACAAAAUGUGGCGCUAACUUCCCCUUAACUCCAAAGCGCUUAACUCCUCGAAGUGGAGAUACACGAAGAUAAACUCUGUCUCUGACUUCGUAAACUGCCUCCUUGCAUUUAGAAUCCACAUAGCUCUUUUGCCUGGACUGGGCUACCUUGAGCCUUUCGCGAAUCAACUUCACCUUCUGUUCAGACUCCUUAAUCAAAUCUGGUCCAAACAAUUGGCGAUCUCCAACUUCAUCCCACAACAAUGGGGUCCUGCACCUUCUUCCGUACAAGGCUUCGAAAGGGGCCAUCUUCAAACUGGAUUGAUAACUGUUGUUGGAAGAGAACUCUGCAUAAGGCAAAUUCUUGUCCCAACUAGACCCAUAAUCUAGCGCACAAGCUCUCAGCAUAUCCUCCAAAAUCUGAUUGAAUCUCUCGGUCUGUCCAUCUGUCUGCGGAUGAAAGGUUGUACUGAUCUCUAGCCUGGUACCCAAAGUUUCAUGCAACUGAUUCCAGAACUUUGAGGUAAACUGGGUUCCUCUAUCUGAUACGAUGCUCCUCGGAACUCCAUGCAUACAUACGAUCAUGGUCAUGUAUAUCUUUGCCAACUUAUCACUUGUAUAAGUGGUCUUCACUGGGAUGAAAUGACCUACCUUCGUCAAACAAUCGACUACAACCCAAAUCGAGUCAUAGCCUGAACGAGUCCUGGGCAAUCCUGUGAUAAAAUUCAUUCCUAGUUUAUCCCACUUCCAUUCGGGUAUCGGCAAUGGCUGUAGCAAUCCUGCUGGCUUAUGAUGUUCUGCCUUCACUCUCUGACAUACAUCACAAACUGCUACGUACUCCACAAUAUCCUUCUUCAUUCCGGUCCACCAGAAAGUGUCCUUCAAAUCCAGAUACAUCUUGGUAUUUCCUGGGUGAAUCGAGUAUGGCGAAUCAUGGGCCUCUUGUAGAAUCAACUUCCUGAUCUCCGGGUCAUUAGGCACAUAAACGCGGUCCUCAAACCAUAAGGUAUCGUGCUCAUCCUCACUAAAUCCUUUAGCUUUUCCUUUGCUCAUCCUCUCCUUUAUAGUGGCAAUCUCCUUGUCAGUCUUCUGAGCUUCUCUGAUCUUAUCCAUCAAAGUCGACUGAAUCUCCAAUGCUGCAACAUAGCCUCUCGGGACUAUCUCCAAAUAUAGCUCACGAAGAUCCUCAGCUAACUCCUUUGGUAACUCUCCAGUCAUGAGGGUGUUGACAUGGCUCUUGUGGCUCAACGCAUCGGCUACUACAUUAGCCUUUCCGGGGUGAUAAUGCAAUCUCAUAUCAUAAUCCUCGAUGAGCUCCAACCAUCUUCUUUGCCUGAGAUUCAACUCCUUUUGCGUGAAAAUGUACUUCAAACUCUUAUGAUCCGUGUACACCUCACAAUGGUUUGUAAUGAGAAAAUGUCUCCAUGCCUUCAAUGCAUGCACAACGGCUGCUAACUCCAAAGCAUGUGUAGCAUAAUUCAACUCAUGGGGCUUAAGCUGUCGUGAGGCAUACGAAACAACUCUUCCCUCUUGCAUAAGCACUGCUCCAAGUCCUCAACAUGAAGCGUUUCAAUACACUUCAUAAUCCUUGCGCUGAUCUGGCAGAAUCAACACGAGUGAUGUAACCAAAUGUUUCUUCUACUCCUGGAAACUGGCCACACAUUCCUCAGUCCACUUGAACUUGGUGUCCUUCUUCAACAACUCCGCCAUGGGCUUUGCAAUUUUUGAGAAAUUCUCAAUGAAUCUCCGGUAGUAUCCUGCAAGUCCAAGAAAACUUCCGAUCUCUCCAACUGUUGUUGGUGCUUUCCAAUUUGUCACUGUGACAACUUUGGUGGGAUCUACUGCUAUUCCUUCUCCAGAUAUAACAUGUCCGAAGAAUCCAACUUCCUUCAACCAAAACUCACAUUUGCUGAACUUGGUAUAUAACUGAUGUUCUCUGAGCUUCCCAAGUACCAAACGCAAAUGCUCCUUAUGCUCUUCUUCAUUCUUCGAGUAGACCAAGAUAUCAUCAAUGAACACUACGACGAACUUAUCCAGAAACUCCAUAAACACCUUGUUCAUCAUGUUCAUGAAAUAGGCAGGUGUGUUAGUCAGACCAAAUGACAUAACGGUAUACUCAUACAGCCCGUACCUGGUGGUAAAAGUUGUCUUAGGUAUAUCGUGCUCUCUAAUCUUCAACUGGUGGUAUCCUGAUCGCAGAUCGAUCUUGGAAAAUACCUUAACUAUUUGCAAUUGGUCAAACAAGUCAUUGAUCAUCGGCAGUGGGUACUUGUUCUUGAUUGUUACUUCAUUCAAUCCUCGAUAAUCAACAACCAUCCUCAAUGAUCCAUCCUUCUUCUCCACUAGAAGCACUGGCGAGCCCCAAGGUGAAGAACUUGGGCAAAUAUAACCUUUAUCCAAUAACUCCUUGAUUUGCUUCUUAAUUUCCUCCAAAUCUUUUGCGGGCAUCCUGUACGGUCUAUUAGCAAUUGGACCUGUGCCUGGAAAAAGCUCAAUCAAAAACUCACUGUCUCUAUCUGGUGGCAUGCCUGGCAAUUCUUCCGGAAAUACAUCGGGAAAAUCUUUCACCACUGGUACUUCCUCCUGUACAACUCCUGAUAAGGAAUUUACGUGCGUCCUCUUUGGCUCGUGCCGUGAUACAUACUUGAUCCUUCUCCCUUCUGGGGUGGUAAGCAAAAUCGACUUACUGGCGCAAUCGUUGUUUCCUCCAUUCAUCGAUAGCCAAUCCAUACCCAGAAUCACAUCCAAACCUUGCGAUUCUAAAAUGAUUAAAUCCGAGGGGAAGACAUGCCUACGUAUACUCAAUGGCACUUGAAAACAUCCUCGACUGGCCAUAUAGUCCGCUCAUGGUGAGCUUACUAACAUAGGUGUUCUAAGAACCUUGGUGGGAAGUUUAUACUUAUCCACAAAUCCCCUUGAUAUGUAUGAAUGCGAUGCACCAGUAUCAAAAAGAACGAGUGUAGUAAAUGACUUAACCAAAAACUUACCUAUUACUGCAUCUGGCUGAGCUUCAACCUCCACCACGUUUACGUGGUUCACCUGUCCCUUGUUGAAAGGGUUCGGCUUCUUCCCAGAGCUUCCAUUGCCAUUUCCAUUCUGGGCUUCAGGACAUUCAUUGGCAUAAUGUCCAGUCUUCUGACAAUUGUAGCAAGUGACUUGGCUCAGAUCUCUCUUGGCUAGGGUUGAUGGGUUGGUACGUUUAUGGCCGUUGCUUCCUCCAUUCUCAUUCCCAUUCUUGAGGCCAUUAUGAUUGUGCGAACUCCCUCCUCCAUGGGUAUGUUGAAAAUGUCCUCCCGAUUUCGGGGUAAAACAUGGCUUCUGCUAAGCUCCAGAAUUGUACUUCCCUUGUCCAUACUUCCUCUUGUGAUUGUCAAUCUGCUGCUGCUUCCCUUCAAUCAUAAGAGCUCUAUCUACCAACUCCUGGUAGUUGUUGAAGGUUGCUAUCAUUAACUGCAUGCUCAGCUCAUCAUUCAGUCCUUCCAGAAACUUCUCCUUCUUAGCUGCAUCUGUAGAAACGUCAUCUGGGGCAUAACGUGCUAGCUUACUAAAGUCAUCCACAUACUGGCCAACUGUACGUCCUCAUUGGCACAAGUUGCAAAACUCACGCUUCUUCAUGGCGAUAGCUCCUGCCGAAACAUGUGACAGUGUCGAUAGGGUAUGUGGCUGUAAAAUUCUCCCACCAUGAUUCUGCGGGUCCAUCAAGCUGAUGUGCGGCAAAACGCACCUUCUCCGCAUCUGUGCAUCCUGCAGUGGUUAACUCCCUUCCCAUCUUGCGGAUCCAAUCAUCUGCAACUAUCGGCUCGGUGCUACUGGAAAACACCGGUGGAUUAAGCCUCAAGAAAUGGGCUAAGUGAUCAACAGGUGGUGGUGGUGGUGGGUUGUUGUUGUUCCCCUGAUUCUGGUUCCGGAGUAGUAACUGCAUCAAUGCAUUCUGCUGCUGGAUCAACUGGGUGAGCUUCAGUGGGAAAGCAAAUCCAUUGUCACGUCUCGGAGGCAUCUAACGAUUUAGAAAAAAUGAUAAUAUAUAAUAGAAUGAGCCCUAGAAGGAAAACACUACCCAUAUGCACAUGAGACAAAUGCAAGCAGUAUCACUUCAAGCAAAAUCAAAAAAGGGCAUACAACGGUCUAGCUAAUCGUUUCAAAAGUGCUCAGACUAUACUAUAUACAUGGGGGAAUACUACUACUGUUUAUGGUGGUCGACGAGAAAAACUGCUCCGAUGAAGACUCCAUGAUAUCUGCUCCAGCUUCGUCAACAUAGUCAUCAUCGCUAUUGUCUGGGUCCGAAUUGGUGUCGUCGAUGAUGAUGUAGUUCUCCGGAAAAGUGCAAUCAUCGUCUUCUCCUCUAGUCGCGGAAAAUCUCAUGAAUACUUUUAGCUUCUUCUUCAGAUCAUCAUUCUUCUCCACAAGCGUUGCUAUUUCCUCCUCAUAUCCAUCGCGUGUAGACUUGAGUUCUUCCUCCAGUUCCAUGAUCUUGGUCAGAGCCUUCUUCAGAUCUACCAUGCUUGCGCACAUCUGGUUCUCCUGGCGACGAAUGUGCUGGUUUCACUCCUGGAUGAAAGCUGCAAUUGAUCUAUCCUUCCUGGUGCUGAUCAUCUCCCAUUGCUCAUCUCGGCGCCCAGAAAUCAGGUAGAUAGUAUCCUUGAGAUCCUUGUGGUAAACUUCUCCAAUGUGUCCCAUGGUGAUGUGAGCUGCCAUGCUCUUUCCUAAACUCUAGGUUUGUGCAUCAAAGGAAAACUCUAUGGGUUCAGUGACGUGCAUGAACGUCCUUCCUGGAAAUUGAACUUGAAUCAUCCAACGCUCCUCUUCUGGUAAAGUGGCGUUGUAGGUCCCGAUGAAGCUUGGUACUCCGAUGUUCACGACUUAGUGACUUCCUUCAAGUGGCGUCCAAAGGGUGUAUCUUCAUCCGGUUGCAUGAACUUGCUCCUUGCAUCCGCCAUCCUAAAAGAAUAUAAUAGAUGAGGAAUCAGAAAUGACAAGAGUGAGUAAUGAUCUAGGGCUUUUAGCUUAGUGGUCGUGUCCUACAGUCAGCAUGUGCUUUUAUACCAUCUUGUAGCGACCCGACCUCUGUGCUUCAGUGUCAUCCCUGGAUCAGUAAUGCUGACACGCAUCGUACUUGAAGGAUUUAUAACAGAGUGGCAAUCACACACUUAUUACAACGAAUGUCUCAAAAGAGAACUUACUACAAUAAAUAUGGCUUGAGGCCAUCUAAUAAAGAUAACAACGGAAGACUUGGAAGAUAAGUGAGUCCAUCAACUCCAACGGCAUCACUGAGUAUAAGACCACGAUCCUAAGGCAUUUUACUCAUCGUCUGAAAAUUCUGCAACAUGAAUGUUGCAGCCCGUAAACGGGUCAGCACAUGGUACAUGCUGGCAAUGUAACACAUAGAGAGUAAUGAACAUAAUAGUGCUAUCACUACAUGCAUAUAUGGCUAGUGGAAAACUCUAUGGUUACAGUUUUUCAUCAAACCAAUUUUUCCCUACAACAAAGGAAUAAAUUUUAUUUAACUAUCAUGGUGGUUGUUAAACAAUGAGAAGGUAGACACCCUCUCAAUCCCAAUUAAGCAUCAUCAUUAAACCCAACAAAUUAAAUUAAAGUAACAUGAUGAGAUUCACAUGAUAAUCCAAGUACUAGAUACUCAAAACGUCCAUAACCGGGGACACGGCUAACCAUGAUUUGUUUGUACACUCUGCAGAGGUUUGCGCACUUUUCCACACAAGACUCGAUCUCGUCCGUUGGAUUUCUCGCACUACAAGGUGUUUGAGAAACGGAUGACCGAGACAUAUUCUUUCAGAAGCGUUUGCACCUUACGAUCGGGUAGACAGUUACACCUACUUUCCCCCACAUCUGCUAGUCUACCACUGUAAGAGUUCACACGACUUAAUCAACUAUGCUAGAGCCCACAGUAGCUUGUGGCUGCACACGGAAGUUUCUAGCAUGAAUAAUCUCAUGAUCCCUUUGAGCCUGGGUGGCGGUCCAAAAAAACAGGCAAUCGCUGGAAUACCCAGGUGCCUCAAUCCACCCAGAUGUGUAUUAAAGUUGCCACCUUAAAUAAACCAUUUAAUAACAAUCUCACAUCUGUCAUGCAUUCACUCACCCAAUCCACGUCUAUUGGCAUAGCAUAGCAAUAAAAGCAAACGUAGAAGUAACUCUUGUAAUAAAACAGGUAAUAGGUACUAUCUCAUCUACUUCCCAAAACCCACAUAUUAAUCAGAUCCUAAUCAUGCAAUUUUUUGAGGAUUGAACUAAUGCAAUAAAACUGGGUAGUAAAGAGGUAUGAUCAAAGUGUUACUUGCCUUGUUGAUGAUCCGUGAAACCUAGAGAUUCGAAGUAGCAAGCGGCGCACUCUGGGUACUCUAACGCAAACAAACAAACAAGCAUACAAUAAGUACUCAACUAAUGCAUAUGUAAAACUCAAAUAAGAGAUCUAACCAAAAAGUGCAACUUAAGAACUCCGGUUUGCAAAAAGAAUCAAAUCAAACGAAGCAACGAAACUCAAAUGGCGAAAGAAACAAGCUUCAUUUACUAAUCUGGACCUAAGUCAAAAUUUUACAGUAGUAAAAACUUGUUGAGUUGGUUAAACGAAAAGAGGGUUUCAAGGCGAAACUCUAGGCGCUUGAAUCUCCUGAUUCUGAUAAAGGAGCGAAAAGAUAAACUAGAACGAAAAUUGGAUCAGAAACCACGAUCUGGAAUAAUCGCGGAAAAUCCGAGAAAAAGAAAAACUGACGAACUGUCUAACGGACAGACGUUCGUUGACUACAACUAAACGGCGAAACUCAUCCAUUAAAAUGAACGAUCGAGCGAACGCUCGCUAAAUAAAUAAACCAGAAGAAAUAUAAGAAAACUGAUCUAAAAAAUAAACCUAGGGUUUUCUAAAAAAAUGGAUUGGUUUUCUCUAGAAAACCGGGCGGCCACGGGCGGCUACCUCGUCGGAACUCCGGCGGGGUCCGGCGGCUUCCACGGGGUCCGGUGGCGGCGGGAGGCGGUGGCGGCAGUGGUGAACGGCGGCAGCAGCGGCGAACGGCGGCGGCGGGAGGCGAGCUGGACUGGAUGGAGGGUUGGGACUGGCAGCGGCGGUAUUUAUAGGAAGGGGGGCGACGGUGGCUUGGGGAAGGGGGCGACCGGGUCGGGAUUGGCAUCGGGAGGCAUGCCCCGGCCGGACUCGGUGGCGGCGUUGGGGAGGACUUCCCUCCCGCGGGGAAGGCGGAGGCGGCGCGGGCCUGGCCCGGCUCGGCUGGGCCUUCGGCCCAGUCCGGCGCGCGGAACUUUUUUUUAAAUAAAUUUCGCCGAAACUAAGAAAAAUACUAGAAAAUAAAAUAGAAUUCUAAAAAUGCCAAAACAAAUUUUCACCAUCUAAAUAAAAUAUUUAGGACAAGAUGAACAUUUUCUUGGCCCUAAAAUACAGUUUUGAAAAACGUGCAAGUUUUUCCUAAAUUCAAAUAAAAUAGCGAAAAACUCCGAAAUAAAAUCUUAUUUGAUUUUUAUUAAAUCCUCAAUAUUUCUUUAUUUUGGGAAAGUCAUUUUAUUCCCUCUCUCUUGUUUUUAUAAUCUAAAUAAUUGAAGAUAAAAUAAAUAAAAUCAAAUGAUCCUAUUUUCAAAAUUUGAUAAAACUCAAAUAUGAAAAUAACGAAAUUCCCAACUCUCUCCAAGGGUCAUCGAGUUGCGUAAAAUUUCUAGGAUCAAGCCAAAAAGCAAUAAAAUAUGAUAUGCAAUGAUGAUCUAAUGUAUAACAUUCCAAAUUUAAAAUAUGGGAUGUUACAUAAGUAUUGUUAGCAGUAGCGCUUCCCGGACCAGCGCUACUGAUAACUAUCUAUAGCGCUUGUUCAGAUGGUGCGCUGCUGCUAAGCCAGCGCUACUUAUAAGUAUUUUCCAGCACUACUGCUAAUAUUCCUGCUUUCACAUAUUUGCACCCUGUACAUAUUUGUGAUGUAUUUAUACAGGCUCUGUACAAUAGUUUCAUCACAUCAUACUAAACAUACACUAUUCUCACAUAUCAUAGACAUACAGUAGUCUCGUCAUAGCAUCAUCAUCAUCAUCAUUCAACACAAAUAUCAUCACAUCUCGAAAAUAGUGAUACACAAGUGCGAUCAUGUCAUGUCUUGAAUAAGUGCAACUGCAUGGUCAUGGCACACACACAAGUUUGAUCAUCUCUAUCUAAACCAUGAUGUAAAGGAGAAGAACAAUCAGCAUGAGCAAGAGCGCCACUAUGUAGUACCGGCGGUCCCGCUCCUGCUCAUGCUGGAGUGUCCACCUCAAGUAACUACGUUCCGCUUCGGCUCUGGUGUUGAACCCUCUGAGGCUAGCACCCGGGUACCUGUGCACCUGGGCCUGAGCGGCUGGCCAGUGGUUGUAGACUCCUGGAACCCGCCCAACGUACACGACGUAGUAGUCCUUCGCCAUCUCUGAUCUAUGUACCUGCAUCGUGAGUUGAUGAAUUGAAUGAUAAUAUGCAACAUAGUGUACUUAAGAAAACAAAGAGGCAUGAUUAGCAAAAUAAAAGCAACCAAUAGUAAACAUAAAUGACGAAGUUCCUCAUACCCAAACUAAUUAACUAGAGCGAUCUACGCUAGUUCAAGACCACGGUUUAGUUACAUCACAUAGUUUCGUCGUGCAUAAUUUCAAAAUUUUGCCAUAGAAAGACAGUAGUGAUAAGGCGAUUAGGACCACGGUUUAGUUACAUCACAUUGUCAUUGACAAUCAGUCCUCCAUGUCGGUGUUCCAAUCUUCAUAGUCAGGGAGGAAGCACCCGAGCUUCGUGAAAGGCUUCAGGUCCAGACAUUGAGCGACUAGCAGUGCUCGGACAUCAACCCGCGUGAUUGGACCAUGGUAGAACAUCCCCAUUGUUUUUUAGAACUUAUACAGUGGGAGAGGCUCCCACUGUGUUUGUAUUACUCAAAAGAUAUAGUACAAUGUACACCUCAUAUUUACAAGAUACUCAACCUCCACUUUGGGAGAGAGUGUAAUCAGACCAAGUUAUGGGCAAGCUAAUGGGGUGAUAGAGUGUUUACAAAAGAGAGAAUAAAGUCUCUCAAGUCUUCUCUAGUCAUGUGUUGAAGGAGGGUGAAGUCCUGCUUGAAUCUAUCAAGCCAAGAGUGGUAAAUAGGAGGGAUUCUUCUGAAGUGCUUGUUAUUCCUCUCUUUCCAUUUGCUCCAAGGUGCCUGUAAAAAGAUUUCCAUAAACAUGGGUUUGUCCCAAUUGUUGGAUGCCUGACUUAUCCAUUGUAACCUGGAGCCGGUGUCUUCCCACGUAAUCCCUAGUUUGGAGCAAUAGUUUUUACUGAAAGGGCAUUGGAAGAUCAUGUGUUCCACAUCCUCUUCUAUUUAUUGAUUACAUAGCAAGCAGUUGAAGUCAUCCCCUAUGUUAUAGUGCCACCUCUUGAGCAUGUUGCGAGUGUUUAGUCGAUCAGAGAGAAGCAACCACCCAAAUGUCUUGAUUUUCAGCAUGACCUUCGAUUUCCAGAGCCAUUGAUAUGAUUUGUGGGCCUUCACAUCCCUAAAGUAGAAUUUGUAGUAUAUGUUGGCCUUAAAAUCUCUCGAUCCCCAACAAUACUCACAAGUGUCAUGGGUAUGCAAGUCUUCAUGGUUACCUACGUGGAGCAUAUUUUGUUGUAGAUCGAGAACUUCUUCAUGUGCUUGCACCAAAAGGGGUCGGUGAAACCUUUCAUGGAGUGAGGUAGAUCCCAAGAAAUCUCUGACAGAAAUAUCAUCAUUUAUUGCGAAGGAGAAGGCCCGCGCGUAUUAUUCCGCCUCUGUAGUGUCUAACCAUAUAUCCUUCCACAUAAGUACCGUGUCUCCAACGUGCACAUUUUCUUUAGAUAUCCCUCUGUAGAUUGGGGUGAGCUUUAGCACAUCCUUCCACCAGAACUAUCCGCAUGGUUCCGACGCGUGCGGGAUCUUGUGCGUGUAAUAUGUUGUCUAGAUCAAAUCCACCCAGGGCAGGUCAUGGUGGUUCUCGGUGUCAAAACUGGCGGAUCUCGGGUAGGGGGUCCCGAUCUGUGCGUCUUAGGACCAAUGGUAACAUGAACACGGGAUUUUACCCAGCUUCGGGCUCUCUUGAUGAGAUAAUACCCUACAUGCUGCUUGAUUGACUAUAAUGAAUAUAGGGGUUACAAGAGUUGAUCUACCUCGAGAUCAUAUGUUGUGGUCUAAACCCUAGAGGUAUGAUGAGUAAUGUCAUAAUAAUCCUCUAUCGACUAGCCUAGCCUCGGUUUAUAUAAUGUACCAGAGGCCUAGGAUAACAAGAGUCCUAGCCGAAUAUGCCGGUGGGGGAGGAGUCCUUGUCUUGAUCACCAAGUCUUGUGGAAUCUUCCUUGUAUGCGGCAAUUGUCGAACUGGCCCAUGAGUAUACGGACAUGGGGGUGCUCGGCCCAAUCUAACUGAUCGGGGGAUGAUGUGGUGAGUACCCCCUAGUCCAGGACACCAUCAGUAGCCCCCUGAACCGGUCUUCAAGUUGGGGAGGCUCCUCGAUUCUUCCGAACUGUUCUUCAUCUUCGGUCGUCCGUCUUGAAAAUUGGUUCAACAAAUCUUCUCAUCUUCGAUCUUGAGGAUCGCAAAGUAAAUCCGAAGAGUUUAUACGUCGGGUAUCCGAGGAGCCCCUAUAAGUUUCCGGCAUUUAUCAAUGCCUUGUUAUUAUUAUGCCGCACUUCAGGUUUGAAGUUAUUCCCGGGCGGCAGCUUCCUCUUGCAUCCGAGCUCCAACGCCGGAUUUCAUUCGAGGUAUCUUUUGCAGCCAAGCACCAACGCCGGACUACUUCCGAGCUCCAAUGCCGAAAUAUAUCCAAGCUCUAACGCUGGACUAUGUCCAAGCUCCAACGCUGGACUGUAUCCGAGCUCCAAUGCCGGACUAUAUCCGAGAUGUCAUAGAUCAUCUGGGUUCAAAAAGUUGGAGGAGUUUAGCCGAGCUUAAUGCUGGAAAUGCCCUCUAUGGAGCCAGCCACUGGCGCCCGAGCUUAAUGCCGGAUUGCUUCCGAGGUGGUGCACCACCCCUAACUGUGGGCUGAUUUUUUGACUGGUGCAAUUUAUUAUCUUCCGAGAUAUAUAGCCAGUAGCCCUCGAGGUGUGUGCGUCGGUCUAAAACCCGAGAUGCACAUGAAGGAAAACAUGAAACCGCUAAUCCUAGUUGCCCCUGAGACUCAGGUCGGUGCACGAAAUCGGCAUGAGGAUCAACUCCUAGCUCGACAACAUACAUAGGAAUAGAAACGCGGUGUGCAAAGUCCUCGAGACUCAAGUUGGGUGCGGCCGACCAACCUGAGGAUAAUAAUCUCCUCGAAAACUAUAUUGCACUUUAAAUUUUCUGCAUUGGAUUGUCAAUGCAGUAGCCCCCGAGACACUGGUCGGGUGGCGACACUAGAUCAGGGGAUCAAUGUACCCCUUUAAUAUUUGUAAAUAAUAAGCACGAAGCCCAGUAGCCCCCGAGCCUUAAUGUGGGCACGGGUGGCCAAAUUAAGGAUCGAUAUCCAAAGUAAAAUCACAAAUUAUGUGUAAUGAUUCUAUGUAUCCAAGUACUUUGCAUCAUCAAUGCUCGCAUCCGCAUUGUACAAAACUUUGUCGACCUGCCAUCGGCUUCAACCUCCUUGGCCAGCAGCCAGGGAGUGUGUGUCCCACUUUAUAAAGCCUUUAUGGGGGCAAAGAUUUGUGGCAAACAAGGCAAUCCGGCCAUAUGGUUUUAUAAACAAAGGUACGCAGAGAGACAUGUUAUAUUAUUGUUUAACAUAAGAAACAUCAUCCAAAGAAAAUAGUCCCACUAUUGGUUCCUUUCUUUGGGUUGUCAUGCUAAGCAUGAUCAUGAAACCUCAGCUCUGAUCAAUGUGGGAGGGAAAUACUGAGGAUUUUAGUACGGGAAAAGCUUCCAAACUCUGUGGUCUAGGUGAACCCAAAUUUUUACUUCCGUUAUGACCGUUUAUAAUUUGAAAGUGGCCCAUCGUCGGCUUCUACCCCCUUGUAGAUGUUAUGCAGGGUGUUUCCGAAAUAACAAAUCAACCCUUAGCCGACGUCUCGGUACCCGAAGGCGGUUGUGUUGGCGGAAACAAGGCAAUCAGAUAUACGGGCUUUAUAACUUUCACUUAGUCAUAGGAACAUAUAGUUGGGAGGCCGGCAAGUAGCCCCCCGCUUAGUGUUCGGCGAAAGCCGAGGUCAAGCCGUAAACACUUAGGGCAAUGUUAUGAACGACCCGUCAUUUAACAUGCCGGUGGGGUCUGGGAUUCUGAUCCAAUCAUGCCGGUGGGGGAGGAGUCCUUGUCUUGAUCACCAAGUCUUGUGGAAUCUUCCUUGUAUGCGGCAAUUGUCGAACUGGCCCAUGAGUAUACGGACAUGGGGGUGCUCGGCCCAAUCUAACUGAUCGGGGGAUGAUGUGGUGAGUACCCCCUAGUCCAGGACACCAUCAGUAGCCCCCUGAACCGGUCUUCAAGUUGGGGAGGCUCCUCGAUUCUUCCGAACUGUUCUUCAUCUUCGGUCGUCCGUCUUGAAAAUUGGUUCAACAAAUCUUCUCAUCUUCGAUCUUGAGGAUCGCAAAGUAAAUCCGAAGAGUUUAUACGUCGGGUAUCCGAGGAGCCCCUAUAAGUUUCCGGCAUUUAUCAAUGCCUUGUUAUUAUUAUGCCGCACUUCAGGUUUGAAGUUAUUCCCGGGCGGCAGCUUCCUCUUGCAUCCGAGCUCCAACGCCGGAUUUCAUUCGAGGUAUCUUUUGCAGCCAAGCACCAACGCCGGACUACUUCCGAGCUCCAAUGCCGAAAUAUAUCCAAGCUCUAACGCUGGACUAUGUCCAAGCUCCAACGCUGGACUGUAUCCGAGCUCCAAUGCCGGACUAUAUCCGAGAUGUCAUAGAUCAUCUGGGUUCAAAAAGUUGGAGGAGUUUAGCCGAGCUUAAUGCUGGAAAUGCCCUCUAUGGAGCCAGCCACUGGCGCCCGAGCUUAAUGCCGGAUUGCUUCCGAGGUGGUGCACCACCCCUAACUGUGGGCUGAUUUUUUGACUGGUGCAAUUUAUUAUCUUCCGAGAUAUAUAGCCAGUAGCCCUCGAGGUGUGUGCGUCGGUCUAAAACCCGAGAUGCACAUGAAGGAAAACAUGAAACCGCUAAUCCUAGUUGCCCCUGAGACUCAGGUCGGUGCACGAAAUCGGCAUGAGGAUCAACUCCUAGCUCGACAACAUACAUAGGAAUAGAAACGCGGUGUGCAAAGUCCUCGAGACUCAAGUUGGGUGCGGCCGACCAACCUGAGGAUAAUAAUCUCCUCGAAAACUAUAUUGCACUUUAAAUUUUCUGCAUUGGAUUGUCAAUGCAGUAGCCCCCGAGACACUGGUCGGGUGGCGACACUAGAUCAGGGGAUCAAUGUACCCCUUUAAUAUUUGUAAAUAAUAAGCACGAAGCCCAGUAGCCCCCGAGCCUUAAUGUGGGCACGGGUGGCCAAAUUAAGGAUCGAUAUCCAAAGUAAAAUCACAAAUUAUGUGUAAUGAUUCUAUGUAUCCAAGUACUUUGCAUCAUCAAUGCUCGCAUCCGCAUUGUACAAAACUUUGUCGACCUGCCAUCGGCUUCAACCUCCUUGGCCAGCAGCCAGGGAGUGUGUGUCCCACUUUAUAAAGCCUUUAUGGGGGCAAAGAUUUGUGGCAAACAAGGCAAUCCGGCCAUAUGGUUUUAUAAACAAAGGUACGCAGAGAGACAUGUUAUAUUAUUGUUUAACAUAAGAAACAUCAUCCAAAGAAAAUAGUCCCACUAUUGGUUCCUUUCUUUGGGUUGUCAUGCUAAGCAUGAUCAUGAAACCUCAGCUCUGAUCAAUGUGGGAGGGAAAUACUGAGGAUUUUAGUACGGGAAAAGCUUCCAAACUCUGUGGUCUAGGUGAACCCAAAUUUUUACUUCCGUUAUGACCGUUUAUAAUUUGAAAGUGGCCCAUCGUCGGCUUCUACCCCCUUGUAGAUGUUAUGCAGGGUGUUUCCGAAAUAACAAAUCAACCCUUAGCCGACGUCUCGGUACCCGAAGGCGGUUGUGUUGGCGGAAACAAGGCAAUCAGAUAUACGGGCUUUAUAACUUUCACUUAGUCAUAGGAACAUAUAGUUGGGAGGCCGGCAAGUAGCCCCCCGCUUAGUGUUCGGCGAAAGCCGAGGUCAAGCCGUAAACACUUAGGGCAAUGUUAUGAACGACCCGUCAUUUAACAUAGUCAUCAGAUCGCUGACCGGUUUAUGCUUUAUUGUGACAGUCAGUUUUCGGCUUUCUCCAACGAGGUGCUUAACCAUACGAGUUGGAAGCACAAUCGCAGUGGCUCUCCUUUUGCACACCUAACCGAACAAAGCAGAAUGUAGGAGGCAAGCACCGGAGUCGGGCAACCCAACUAUCGACCGAAGACACAAUUUGAAACCGAUGCAUAUAUAGCAAUAUCCUAGAAUUUUUGCCAAAUCUCUAAAGGUGUCCAGCAUUGCACUGCGAGACUUAUGCGGAAAACACACAAAUAGUUGAAAAGGCCAUAGGUUUGGAAAACCAAAAAACGUCAGUGAAAACUCGACGUCCGAACUAUAUCAAGUGUUCGGUGCCAAUCCAAACAUUGAAAAAAUUGUGCUUCUGUCAUGCUUUAACAUGCCACAUCCUAUCUCAAGACUUCAAGCGGGUCAGCCUACGGCUUCAACCUCCUAUCCUAAAGGCGGAGUACUUUGGCGGCUUUGAGAGGGAAAUCCAGCUAUUGACCACACACUCGCGUCGAAAAAAGGAGUGAUAGAAAAAAACUUUGCAACGACUAGGAAGAAGAACACUUAUUAUAAAACAGCUCACAUAAAUUUAAGAGCCCCCGAGUGACUUGGGUAAAAGAAUUUUAUGUAUAAUGAUUGUAUGUACCAAAGUACUUGUAUCAUGUCUGUGUUCACCCGAACUUUAUACGCGUCUUAACCAAUUGUCGGCUUCUCCCUCUUCGGUCGAGGACCGAAAAGUGUUAUGUACUCCACCUGUCGAGAGUAUCGACGGUGUUUCCGAUAACCAGGCAACCAGGCCAUAAGGCUGUAACAGACAAAGCACGCUCAGGGAACUUAUGCUAUAUUACUAACAAAGUGUAAGAAGCAUCUUCGAAGAAAAUAGUACCCCCAUCGAUGCCUUUCUUCGGUGCUCAUUGUCAUUAUGAGACUUGUGCAAUAGAUUUUUUGUACUCAUGAGUUCCGUUGUGUGCCGACCAUGAUUGAAAACAAUAAGAGCGCUAGCUUUCGGCUUCACCCAGUCUGAGGUCUGAGCUCGGAAGAACCGGUCAUGACAAUCGCAGAGGUGCUCCCUUUACUCCCUAGCCGAACAAUCGGGAACAUAGGGGUAAGCACAGGAGCCAGCCAACCCAGCUUGCAAAUCACUUAGGUCAAUAUGGUGCAUAUUGUGGCGUAAUACAUGAACAACGAACGAAGCCGUACAAGUAUAAUCAUAUGCAAGAGGAAAAGCUUCAUAAAGGAAGCCCCAAGUAAACGGGGUAUUUGAAUUUGUGUGUCACAAACAAAGUUUGGACAUGGAAGUUCUUCACAAGCAACUUUUUGCCAAAAAGGUAUAAUGCUUGUUCAAACCGAACAAAAUUUAAGACUGAAAGUUUUUGAGCAUGAAAGAAACUUAGCUGGUUGAUAUGUUCGGCAUUGAUGACGCGGUCCGAGCUUGAUGUGGGACAGGGUUCCAGCCCCCAGGCUGGUCCCAAGGUGGCCGAGCAGAGAGUCCAGCACUCUGAGAAGAUGAAGCCCCUAGUCCGGCCACGGUAAUGGAGCAGGCCGGCGCGCCAAGGCGACAACACGGCUCAGUCCGAGUCCAUUGCCUGCACAGAUAAAAUAGUGCAAACCAAAAGAAAUGACAAAUAAAGAUAAUAAUGUAUAUAUAUAUAUAUAAUUCUUCUACUUAUUUAACACAAGUGAAGAAAAUAAUGAAAGAGAUGUGGCCUGAGCGUCGAGGUCAAUGUCGAUGCAGGGCGUGAUGCAGUGAAGGCGUGACAAAGCCCGAAUUCGCAGGUCAGUUCGAGUUCCGGAUACAGCGUUCGCCGAACUAUCCACCGAAACUGACCGAACCACCACACAAUCAUCGCUAAUGCGGCCACCAAUUGAUAGACCUAUGUACAGAUGAUGGAACAAAGCAGAGUAAUAAUUCCUUGGGAAAAAUGAACCCAAACGAGCAAAAUUUGCUAGGAUUAAUAGCACCUGGUUUAUCUGUUGUAACGGUUCGAAGAAAGGUUACUCCCAAAAUUGGGACUCGAUCCGCACACCCAUUUCCUGAUGGGUGAUGAAGCGAUGGCACGGCGAUCCUGGCAAAGGUUGGCUCGCCACAGCGAAGCCCGUGGUCCAGCUAAUGUGAUGAAGCUGGUCGGCUGGUGACGCCGAAGUCUCUGGAGUAAGUUGAUGAAGGGAUGAAGAAGCCCCCAGUCUAGGCGAGGAGACGGAGCAGGUCGGUGAGGAGAUGUGUCAGCCGAGGCGUUGAAGUAGUUCGGCGUGAUGGACAUCAGCUCGAUGAAGCAACAGUUCGGCCAUGCCGAUGCAGGUCGUAGCUUGUGACGUGAUCAAUGCUGGCUUGAUGAAGUGACCGUACGGCGAUGCCAUUGUGCCCGCUCCAUGUGAUCUGUGGGGCGGCGAUGUUGGUGACGAUUUAUCCUUCACGAUGCCGAACUAUUGUUCGGCUGGCCGAGAUGAUGGUCCGAAGAAGUUGAGCUCGGCUCAACAAAGCGACGACGUGUCUAGCACAGGUCGACCGCCAUGGAGUGAUGUUGUCAGGCCGGUUUGACACCGGCACGAUGGUGAAAAUCAUAUUGUAAAAAUACUUUUAAUAUUAAUGAGAUGUGUUUGAGAAUAAAACACAAUACCCCAUACGAUUACGUCCUUCAAAAAGGAUGUCCGAAAUCCCGUUCGUAAAGAAGAUGAACUUGGGUCGGAUUCGUUCUCGUGCAGAAAACAGAUUCGAAAAGUGAUGCACUAAUCAGAAGGUUCUCAGAGUUCGGACGGUCGGAUCGAGCUGAAUUGUUGGCAGGUGGUAGAUAUGGGAAUUCCACAGCCGAUCAACGGUUGGAUCUUCCAAAGGACGUCUGAGCUAGAUGCUGGACACCCCGCUCCAAACUCGUCCGGAUUCUCGUCCAGAUUCAACAGGGCUCCGCUAUAUCGGAGAUUGCCGGAGAUUCCUCCAUCGGAACUCGAAGAAAUCGUUUAGGCGACACUCGAGGAGGCAGUGGCGGCGGAUACAAGUUUGCUGUCUAGAAAAACAGCACGGUCGCCUGAGGGCAAUCUUGACGUUGAGCCCCCGAGCUCCAUGGAUGACUCCUCCAUGAUCUUGAUAGCGAUCGGAGUUGAUGUUGAUGAAGGCCCUCAUCCGAAAAUGACGAUCAGGGGUAGGGCGCAGUCCUCAGUCAAGCCAAGGUGACCAGUCGAGCUGGUGACGAAGAAGCCAAUGUCGCAGUUGACCUGCAGUCGAGCCAUUGAUCCUUUUGCCGAUCACACAGCGGAACUCUCAAUGAAAGCACCAAUGUCGGUGUCAAAACCGGCAGAUCUCGGGUAGGGGGUCCCGACCUGUGCGUCUUAGGAUCAAUGGCAACAUGAACACGAGAUUUUACCCAGCUUUUGGGAUCUCUUGAUGAGAUAAUACCCUACAUGCUGCUUGAUUGACUAUAAUGAAUAUAGGGGUUACAAGAGUUGAUCUACCUCAAGAUCAUAUGUUGUGGUCCAAACCCUAGAGGUAUGAUGAUUAAUGUCAUAAUAAUCCUCUAUCGACUAGCCUAGCCUCGGUUUAUAUAAUGUACCAGAGGCCUAGGAUAACAAGAGUCCUAACCGAAUACGCCGGUGGGGGAGGAGUCCUUGUCUUGAUCACCAAGUCUUGUGGAAUCUUUCUUGUAUGCGGGAACUGUCCGAACUGGCCCAUGAGUAUACGUACAUGGGGGUGCUCGGCCCAAUCUAACUGAUCGGGGGACGACGUGGUGAGUACCCCCUAGUCCAGGACACCGUCAGUGGUUGUAAAAUUUAUGCAUAUAUUUGAGAAGGAGGGCCUCACUUUGGAUACGGAGAUUGAUUAUGCCAAGUCCACCACUUUGUUUUGGUUGAAAAACCAUGUCCCAAGCUGCCAAUGAGUUACAUUUAUCCCCUUGCUCAGUCUUUUUUGUCCAAAGGCACUUUCUUCUUAUUUUAUCAAGUAGCUCUAAUAUCUUUGGUGGGAAUUUGAGAGUGUAGAGGGCGAAGAUGGUGAGAGAUGUAAUCAUCGUGUUGAGGAGUGACAGUUUUGCACCGUAUGGCAUCAAGGCUAAAGUGCUGGUCAUUCUUCGUUCCAUCAUGCAGACAAGAGGCAUGAGAUCUUGGACCAUAGACUUGGUUAUUCUGAGAGGCAGUCCCAAGUAAGUGAAGGGCAUAGAUCCUACCUUACAGCCAAAGAUAGAAGCGAUGUCGUUGUAACAAUCGGCAGCACAAUUAAUUGGGAUUGUUGUAGACUUGUGGAAGUUUAUCUUCAAUCCAAUAGAAGUAGCAUAGUCUGAGAGAAUAUCCUUGAUAGUCCUAGCUUGGUUGGGUCAAGCGGGGAGUAUAAUGAUCAUAUCAUCGGCAUAUUGGAUCACUGGAUAAUCAUGCUGGUUUUGUCUUUGGAACGGAAGCUGUAUUUUGCCUUGUCAGAAAGCGUCCGUAAUGGCAGCUUGAAUAAGGUCAGCUGCGAGCACAAAAAUGAGGGGUGAUAAAGGAUCACCUUGAUGAACACCACAUUUGCAGAUGAAUUGUCAGCCUGGUACACCAUUUAAGAGGACCGAUGAUUUUUCUGAGGAGAAGAUGCAUUUGAUCCAAUCAAGCCACAUGGCAUCAAACCCCGUGUGUUCCAUAAUUGUAAUCAUUGCAUCAUGCUCGAUCAUGUCAAAUGCUUUUCCAAAAUCUAGUUUUAGCACGACAAAAUUUUGUUUUGAGAUUUGACAGAGAUGGAUAUACACGAAAGCCCAGGCCAAACAGUCUUGUAUUGAUCUUCCUUUGAUGAAGCCAUAUUGAUUAGGAUGAAAUUUUUUAAGUACGAGCUUUUGGAGACGGUUUGCGAGCAGUUUAGUGAUAACCUUGAGGCAGCAGUUGAGCAAAGUAAUUGGUCUGAAAUCAGAAAUUGUCUCAGGUGACCGAACUAUGGGUAUGAGUGUGAUAAAUUCCUCAUUAAUGCUCUCAAGAUUAAGUCCGCCCUCGUAGAAUUGAUUGCAUAGCUAAUAAAAAUCCUCUUUAAUUAUGUGCCAACAUUUUUUCAGAAAUAAGCCAGUGAAUCCAUCCGGACCAGGUUCUCUGUCAGCCGGCAUUUCCUUGAUGACAUCAUCGAUUUCACCCUUGGUGAAAGGGACGGUCAAUUGAUCCAGACCCUCAACUUUAUCUUCGCCACCCAAUUUCACCCAUCGAAUGGUGCAUCUCUUUUGCCAGUAUUGUCUUUCGUAGUUCAAGAGGCGUAAAAUGUGUUUCUUCAGAAUUUUCCUAAAAUUAUGUUCUGGAGUAGAUUUCAGAGAUUUUUGAGGUCAUCUAGAUUGGCUAGGGUAAGAUUAGAGUUUUCAAUUGCCAUCUUAAGUUUAGAGAUACGUUUGCUCCACCUUUUCAACUCAUAUCUAAAUGCUUUGAACUUUCUGCACAGUAAAGUGGCCGCAUUUGUAUUGGCAUGUUUUAAUGGUCUUAUGCACACAGAUUGAACCAAAUCCAUAAAACUUGGGUGCUCCAUCCAAUAAGACUCAAAUCUAAAGAUUUUGCUGCGAGGGAUGGAGGUUUCAAUUUUGACAACACACGGAAUAUGAUCAGAAACAGGUUUCCUUACUGGCAUAACUAGAGUAUUAGGGUAACAUGAAUUCCAGUUGUUAGACAUGAGAAACCAGUCUAAUUGCUCAAGGAGGGGGUCUGUCUGCAUGUUCCUCCAAGUGUAAGCACGACCCUCAAUUGGCAGUUCAAUUAAUUGCUAAGAGCGGAUGAUGUCAUUAAAAGCAAUCGCGUCAUUAGGAUUACCUCCAGGUUUAUUUCUGUUAUCAGGGCUGCGAAUAUAGUUAAAGUCUCCUAGCAACAACCAAUCUUCAUUGGAGGGGAUAUUUAGAGUAUGAAGCCAAUCAGUGUAAGUCACUCUCGGGUCACCCUAACACGGGCCAUGUAUGUUCACCAGGGUCCACUCUUAGGUUGAUUGUGUGGAACGGAAUUUGAUGACAGAACCAUGCCAUGAGAACUGUUCCUGUGAAAAUGGCAUUGUUCCAAAUGGUGACAAUGCCUCCUGAAGCACCUUGGGAGGGGAUGUAUGCAAAUUUAUCAAAUCUUCUUGGGCAACAAGACUUCAGGAACAAGUUAUCAAUGACAUAUUUUCUUUCUUUCUUUCAGACAGAUGACUCCACAGCCACUGGAGGAGAUAGCAUUCGAGAACGCCAAAAGCUUAUGGUCAGAGUUUAAGCCUCUUAUAUUCCAUCACAAAAUAUUCUAGCUCGAUAAAAGUGCCAUGAUAAAAUAGAGCAAAUUAAAAAACAACUAAAAUAAAGCGAGGAAAUAGCUUAAGCAUUGGAGGGGUCGUCCUCAGCUUCAACCAUCAGAGCUUCAGAAGUAACUUCUUCUGGCGGAAUGGCGCACUUGAUGAUCCCAAUGUGUUGCAGCACUUGAACAGGAGAAGGUGGAGGGAUAUUGUCCUUGUUCAGUGAGUCAGGAACAACUUGACCUGCUUGGGCACCAGCACUAGGGACAAUUCUGGGCUUGACUUUAGAAGGUUUAGCCUUGCUGUCAAAAACUGAUGGUAUCUUGAAACCAUCAUACUUAUUAGAGUGGCUGCUGGGACGAACCUCAACCAUAGAUGCUGGUGCUUUCGCUUUGCCGCUCCUGAUUAUGGAUUUCCCCGAGCUCAUAACAUCACUUGCAAUAAAGCCAGUGGGGUCACUUGCAUCAGAACCAGAAGAGGUGGUCAUUGCAUCCAAUGAAAGUGUUGUUGCACCUUGAACAGGUAAGUCCAUCUCAUCCAAGAUUUCUGUGAUGACAACAUUGGAGUUGGAAGUCCUUGGUAUGAUAGCGAGAUCACUUGUUGGCUGAAGAGGGUUAUCCCCACAGGAUAGGGCCCAAGAACUACUGCCAGGGAUCAUCUCAGUGACAUAUACUGAAUCUGCAGUAUGUUGGACAGUUCUGGUGGAAGACAGAAUAGAGAACUAUCCCUCUUUCUCAGCAAUGCUAACAUUAAAUUGCACUGAAAUGUCACAAAAUCCAAACCCCGAGCUCCAGGGGCCAUAUGCAGCUAUAAUAGGCCUAAUAGCAGCUAGGAGGUAAGUGUUCAGCCUCAACAUUGGCACACAAUCAUUCAGAAGCAAAGAAGCAUUGGUGUUCUCAAGAGAAAGCAUAGAAAGAUGCAGACCAGCAUUUGAAAUAGACAGUGACAUUUCCAUGGGUGUUACCUCCUGGGUGGUCACAAGAUUGUAGGUGAUAAAACUCAGCUCGGAUUCGAUGAUCCGGUGUAUUUCCUAUGCCUGUGGCUCAGCUGACAAUCUCGACAUCUUCGGUAGUAGCUGACAUGCGAAGGCGUUGAUUGUCCCUUAUGUACUGCAUCAAGUGACGCAUGAGGUAGAAUCCAUCAGCCCUACUGGUGUGCGGUUGCUGGAUGCGGCAGAAGUCAAUCUUAUGGCAGAAAACCAGCCCGUUCUUCCUGUGCCAUUUCACCUUAAUAUAUCCACCAGACAGGCUGAAGGUUAACAUGGCACUAUUGAGAACAUCUUUACGUGCAUGUAAUCCUUUUUCUUGAGGUUCUUCGAUGAGUCCAAGUGCAUAGCAUGGGAGUAUUCUAGGUACAUAUUGACGAAGACGGCGCCGCCCCCACUGCGCGAAUUAAAUAGACCUCAAAUUAGACUCCAUGCUUGCAAAGGAAUGAUUAGCACGUACGAAAGGAUAUGCGUGGAUGACUUACUAGGGAUGAUAAGGCAGGAGAAUCGCUUCCUUGUCCUUUUUAGCGAUCAUGAAUUCGUCGAGGUGCUUGCUCGCAUAGUCACGGUGCUCUUUGCAAACUGCCAAGAAGCUCUCGUGCAUAUAGUACGCGUCCGCGAUGCAGAUAUAUUUUAUGGUCUCGAUCCUGAUGAAGUAGUUGAGAUACAACACAUACACGUGGAUGAACUGGAAAUCCAGCUUGGUUGUGUGUAACAUGUCGUAGAUGUAGUCAAAUCGCAGGAUGAACUGAUUCGCGGGCCAGGUAUCGACGUACAACUUCCACCUGAGCCACAUAAAGCGGGUAUCCUGGUUCUUUCGCGAUCAGAAGGAUUUUCUCUCUGGCUAGCACAUCCUCAUGGAGUCUCUUUAGAUCAUUGUUCAGUAUGUGAUCUAGCGCUUUGGUAGGUAGUAUCGGCUCACCGGCCACAUGGAAACGCGUCUUACCUUCGACAGGUAUUCUGUCUACCACCCGGGGCUUUAGAGGCGGCUGGCUUCUUGAAGCACCCAUGGAGCCUUUAGUGCCUUUCCUGGGCAGUCUCUUCCUUUGCUUCUUGGCGGGUGGCGGUAGUGAGCCCACCAUACCUUCCCUAACCACCACCCCCAGUGUCGUCGGCCUAAUCAGUGGACGGGCCUCGGGGGGUUGCUCGGUAGAGGCAGCAUCUGGAGGCGUCUCCUGUGAGGAUGGCUUGAAGAGAGACUUUUUUCAUUCCGCCUUAGAACGUUCCGGCUCCGGCAAAUUAGGCAGCAUCAAGUCAUCAUCUGCAUGCUCAUAGCAUGAGUCUUCGUCGUCCUGAGCCAUCAAUCCUCCAUCAUCAUAGGCGGUAUUUAAAUACUUGUCUGGGUCAUCAUCAUCAUCCUCCAUGUCAUCAUUAUCAUUUGCUUCUUCGACAACGGGGGUGACAUGAUCUGGCACUAAUGGAGGCUCUCCCUCGCGUCAUAAGCUACCAUCCGCCACGACAGCUGCAGGUAAUUUGGUAGGUGCGGUGGUGUUCAUACCUUCUUGAGAAUGUGGCGUUGGCGUGAUACUGGGCGCCUCGAGAUGAAGAAGAGACUUCGGCCAAGGCAAGAACCAGCUCUUGCAUGCGCCAAUCAUCUUAGGGGUCUCGUUGUCGUCGUCGACUAGUACCGGAGGAGGCAAAUCCUCGAAGCCCGCUAAGACACUGGCCACGUUAACCUUGAAGACACCAUCUGGCAUCUCUCGGUUGUGGAACAUUUGGUACUUUGGCUUCACGAUCGUUGCCUUUCCCGCAGCCACCUUCUGGCCCUUGAUGUCGUAGAAUAGGGUGCAUGGGGUAUCGUCGGCCUACGAAGGAGACAUGUCUACGACGUCAAACAUCUGAAAGGCAACAGAAACGAAAGACUAUAGACAUGCUGGUGAAAAGGGUAUGAUGCGUAAUUACCGUGAGGGCGUCGAGCUCAGCCAGCGACGAAUGCCCACCGAGCAUGCCAGAAACGGAGGUCGGGCUGCUAUGAAGAGGAACGGGACCUUUUGUGGUUGCUUGGGCAGGUGUUGGUGCUGUGGUGUUGGCCUAGUUGCUCCCGACAAAGCUAGGAAGGGGAAAGUCCUUCGGCCAUGCAUUUCGAUCACUCUUCGACCAAUCAAAAAUUGCCAGAAUCAAGCUGGCCAUCAUGUCAGUGACCAACCCACUGACUACCCCAAGCAACUCUUCUUUCGUCUCAGCUUUGGUCUUAUUAACCGCAAUCACAACCUUCUCUUCAAUGCUCUGUUGAGUGACGACCAACCGUCUCAUCCUUCUUUCCUCUAGCUCCUCGGGGUAGCACGUCCUCCAUGAGGCGCCAUCUCUGAUGUCAUGCACACGUCCAUAGGACGGCGGCUUGUCCACCGGGACCUUUUUCAGUAUGUUCAGGGCCCAGUUGAAUGGGGUGUCCCACUUGGGCCUCGCCGACGACUGUGACGACUCGUCGUUUUCGGCUGCCUUUUGGUGCUACUCUUUCUGCAAAAGGAACAUGGAUGGUUUACUAAUGUGACAAAACUUGAAGUAGAAUUGAUUGGAAGCUAAUAUGAUAAUGUGGUAAUAUAACAAUUACCACAAGUCUCAUGAACUCCCUCGUAUUCGGGUCUGUGUAAAAGAUCUUUUUGACUCUGUCCCACUUGUACCGGGCCCUGAUCCAAUCAUGCUCCAGAGGGUCUGUGAACUCUGCCAAGGGGUCUGGGAUUCCAAGACUUUCACGUUCGGCGUCCUCCUUGGCCCAUAUGUGCCUCUUCCCCUCAUAACAACGGCUUCUGAGGCGGUGGGGAGGCGUGUUCCUGUCCUGGAGCGCCUUCAUUUUCUCCGACUUUUCCUUGACUUCUUCUUUU
rnacentral:lncRNA from 1 species